rnacentral:lncRNA from 1 species
CCAGUGCAUUUGGGCAGCAUAUGUAUUAUUGCAGUAUUCUGGCUUUGCUCUCGUCUUCCUGAAGGCCAUCCAUUCUGCCGGUUAAAUCAGUAUUUCUCCUGGUUGGAAUGCUUGAUCCUUUCGUGGCUUAACUAGAACUUCAGUCAAUAAGUAGCUAUUAUGUCGAGUAGCUGUAUCUUCAUAAUGCUUUAUUUAUGUUUAGCUUAUCCUUCGGUGUGCUUUGUCAUGAGUGGAGUUUCAGGUUGCUUUAUCUCUAGUUUAAAGCUAGAGUAGCUUCACUGCUUAUGGACCAAAUUAUCUAGUUGUAUCUCUAUUCUACAGAAUCAUAUAUUCGUGUUUGACUGUAGUAUUUAUGCUGGAUACUCUCUCCCUAUUGUGUUAAGUCUGAAACGUUUAUCGCUGGUGGUUGUGUUCAUCUCUGGUUCCUUGCUUUGCUUUAGCUCGCCUUGGAGUUAAGGUGUUACUUUUAUUCUUCAAAUUUGACGGCUUGCAACAGAUGCUAAUCCUGAAACUAUGCACUGAUAGAAGCUUGUUACCGUAGCUGCUUCAAACGGACGGUCAAGUGUAGUCCGCUUCUUUAUGUAACUGGAAUGUGACAUCCUAUGUAUACAUUUGUUUUGACAAACAUUGUUCGUAUGCAUGAUGAAGCUGUGAAUAUGUUUCAGGGUUAGCGUCUGAUGUUUGGUAUGUAGAUUGAUAAAACAGGCAUAGUAGAGGGAACUGAUUAGCCCUUCAAGCCUUUUGGUCUUAAAUUUUGCUAGUACGUUUGCAGUGAUAAAGAGCUUACUAGCAGCAAGAUGGUAGCAUCAACUUCUAAGGUAGUGUAGAUGCCAAAAAAUCAGUGAUGCUACAUGAUGAAUGAUGUACAGGUAGAAACCCUAGAGUACAGUAGCGAGGCAUUUGGCAAGUAAAAUAAUUGUCCUUCCUCCUUCGUUUCGUUUCUGUACAGGUUGCACGUGACGCCAUUCUGUGUAAAGAAUGUCCAAGUGAGGGUGAAAAUGAUAUCGGAAAUCUGCUGGUUUUGCUUGAUGAGCUGAUGAGAAGUUGCGAUUUGAAGCAUUGGCACAGAAUGCAAGCUACUAGCUUUUUAUGUGCUUCAUGUUCUCGAGGAUCUUGCUGUGCUGCAAGGUGGUGGUACGUGGAAACAAAGAUUCAUUGUCUUUCAGUUUUGUUUGGAAAAUCGUUUCGACAUGGUUUUUGUCCUAGUUGGAGAUGAUACCCUGGUUCCUCCUCUGUAGAUUUGGUAUGUCCUGAUAAAGAAGUUAGCUAAUUCACCCUAAUUCACCCUGUGAAGCACCGGAGUCAAGCCUUGUCAAUUUUGGCCCGCAAUAUCUUAUCUAGAAGUCUAGAUUAACGUCAGUAAUAAAUAAAAUACAUGUAGAUUUUGGAAGUAAUUUCCACAUUCUUACACUUAAAUAUUUACUUUUAUCAUACAUAUAAGAUAGUAAAACUAAUUGUGAAAUAUGCUCUAAAAAAGGAGCAAAAACACCAUGGUGCUACCAGCGAUAGCAAUGGUUUUGACACGAUAGUUUUUCUACUGACGUCACUGCUCUAUUGUGUUUUGGACACAAGAUCAAAACGAUUGAAUGAUCGAUCCCUUACACAGAAGAUUUAGCAUUAUUCAUUCCGCACGCUACUCUUUCUUUUUGUUUUUUUUGAAAACCAGGACUUAUUGUAACACACUACUCCCUCCGUUCCACAAUAUAAGACAUAGCUUGCAACAACGUCUUAUAUUAUGGGGCGGAGGGAGUACAUCCUAAAUGGUUAUGCGUUUGAUAGAUUCCGUGGCCUGAAAAUAAAAUAGAAUUCCAUUUGCCUAGUAUAUGCCGACAUAAAAACCAGUGCUCAUUUACUGCUUCACUAUGCCUUGCUCUGCUGCUAAAUCCGUGAAGAUGAAGAUAAUAGAUGGAAAGCAGAAAAUUUGUUCAUCUUUAUAUACUGGCAUUUUAGCUUAGUUACCGGUUAAUCUGUAGUUUAUUUUUUUAUAGCAUACAUAUUUAUGGAAAUACAACCCCCACCGCCCUUCUGCGAGCUUAAAUUUAGUCACUGCAUGCAUUUAGUGCAUCAUUUUAUUUAUAGGUUAAUGUUAUAGUCUCUAGAGGCUUCCUUGUCGGUAUGCAUAUAACGGCUAGAACAUGUGGUAAAGCAUAUUACUCCCUCCGACGGAGGGAGUAUAACUGUAGUUUAGUUAUAUAGGUGUACUCCUUGGUAUGGAAGCUUUGUUGCUUUAUUAGGUUUGCAUAUGCUCCAUUCAGUUAUAACAAAUGAAAUUGUCUGCUUGUGACCGCGAACACUUUUACUCACAUAAUAUACAAGUGCCAUCUAAUUUGUGAAUCACAUAACUUUUCUAACAUGAAUGUACUAGUAAUUAAUAUAACUAGAUCAGUGGCCUUGUGCAAUUCGGUGUUCAAAUCCAUGGUUGACUGCACCAAAUAUCGGUUUAAGCAUCUAAAGUUAAUUUGCCUGCAUGUUGUGGCAAAACCGUAUAGUGGAUUUGAAUGUGUAUGCUCUGGAUAAAAACAGAUUUAUUCUGGACGAUGGUGGGGGCAAAAUUGAUUUUUGCUGAAGAAAUUGUAUCAUAUAUAAUGUGUACUCCCUCCGUAAAUUGUAUCAUAUAAGAAAAGCAUAAUGCUGAGUCUUUGCGAUGCACCCCUCCGUUCACAAAUAUAAGUUUUUUUUGGGUACUUCAAUAUGGACUACAUACGGGCUGAAAUGAGUGAAUAAACACACUAAAAUGUGUCUAUACAUCCGAUUCACAAAAAGUUUGAAAUCUUAUAUUUUGUGAAUGGAGGUUGUAUAUUUUUAUAAAAGCAAAGAAAUAACUUGCAUAAGUGCACCCUGUGUUAGGAUUAACUUGAUUGCAAUCUUGAAAUACUGAAUGAUCGGCGAUGUAAUUCAUGUUUGCUUCAAAAAGAGGCAUCGAAGAUGAAUAACUCUGGAAUGCCACCUUUUCUCAUGUAUAUUCCCCUCAAGAAAAAAGUAGUAUGAAAAUACUGAUUGAUCUCUCUUCAUCUUUUCGAUGUUCAUUUGCAUCUUAUCAAAAAUAUGUGCAAGUCUUCAGAGGUCAAUUAAUGUUUGUAAUUGGCUACAUCCUGCCUCCUGCCUGACAUAUGCUGCUGGACAGGUGCAUUGACCCAAAAGUACAUUAAGCUGGAGACGUGGAGUUUUCACUUUCACAUAUGAAGGUACAUAAGACCAUGGAGGUUGCUAGGAUCUCUUUGUGAAUGAAUUACACUAUGAGCCAGUGCCCAUCAUAUUUGGUUUACUUUCUUGAAAUGCAGAUCGCCGCUCGACCCCUAACGAACUCUAUCCAGAACAAACAACGCUCUCAUCGAUCGGCAGAGAUAUGAGUCUGAUUUACUGUCAAAGAUGGGAAGGUUGCGAGACUUAAUGGUAUUAUUAUGCUAGUAUAGCUGUGCCAUCAGACAUCCAACAUUUUCUCUCUUAUGUAUUUUGGACACUUUGCAAUAGUCUAAACUAACUACUGCAGUUAUUCAAUUGAAAAAUUCAAGUUUCAAGUUUGAAAAAAUGAAGUCACAGUGAAAGGGCAGGGGUUGAUCCGGAACUGGAACGUUAUACGCGGUAUACUAUAGACACAAACGUUGCUAAAAAACUGGAAAUCAAAGGGAUAAAAUAUCCCCAGGCAUGCUCACGGGAUGGAAAAAAAAAUGCAGAGUAAACAGAUCACCCCACGAUUAUUGAAGUUGCCAUUGUAUCCAAAUCAAAGUUGCCACAUGAUAAUUUUGAUACUACAAUAUUUCGUAAAAAUCAGGACUUUCUUUAUCAAACCAUGAGACUUUAGUUUGGAUGAUCUUAUCGAAACAUUGUAUAAUAUGUCUGAGUAGCGGCUUGAGAGGGGACACGGAGUUUAUGCUCCCGGGAUCAUCUGCUCAGGAAAAAAUUUCAAAAUAAAUACUAGAAAAUUCGAAAAAAUUAAUUUUUUUUGUGGGGUAGAUAAUUUGAUGCGUGAGAUCCGCUCUAAAUUUCAACUCAUUUGGACAUCUGAGCAGCUCACGUAUUGUUUUAAUCUGAAUUGUCCUUUUUGUCGAGAGCUGAUCAGAUGUUCAAAUGAGUUGAAAUUUAGAGUGAACUUCACGCAUCGAAUUAUUUACCACACAAUUUUUUGAAUUUUUUAAUAUUUAUUUUCAAUUCUUUUCUGAGCGGGAGCAGAUGAGCCCCUUGAGAAGUACUAAAUCAUGCUCCCUUCGUUCUAAAAUAUUGUGUGCCGGCGUUUUCCGAGGUUAAAUUUUGACCAUAAAUUUAACCAACAAGACUGAUUGCGGUGGAGCAAAAAUUAUAUACUCUCCGUCCUAAAAUAUAAGAACGUUUUUAACACUAGCAUAGUGUCAAAAACGUUUUUAUAUUCUAAAACAGAGAAAGUAUAAUUGAAAACUUUCUUUGAAUAUGAAUUUAUUGGUAUAACUUUUGUUCGCGUCGCUCGUUGAUUAAAUUUAUGAUUAAAGUUGAAGCACGAGAGCCUCUAUAUUUUGAAACGGAGGGAGUAUCAAAGUUUUCGAAAUACUCGUACGUUAUUGUUUUUGUCACUCUAUAUACGUUGGGGCUAUAUUCCAGUCCCUAAAAGAUCACGUGCAAAACAACUUCUCUUGGUUCUCCUCGAAUUGUGACAUAGAAAUAGUCCACCAUCUAUUUGGGCGUAGCUGCCUCAACCUUUCCGUCCCGUUCUUGCCUAGCCAGUUCUCUCGUGCCUCCAUUGCGCGGCCGGGAGGGCGACGUCGCCAGCAGCGCUGCGAGCGACCUCGCUCGGCUCGGCCCGGCCCCGCCGACUGGAACGCACGGGAGACGUGACCAUGGGCACGAUGGGACACCACCAGCGGUCGCGCUCCGCCUCCGGGAGCCCCUCGGCGACGCGCUCAUCAAACGCCACCGAGCUUGACUUCGCCGCCGCCGACCUAGAGUGCCCCUUCGGCGGCAUCGGUGCCCUCGGCUCCGUGGAGCUCCGCGAGACGGCGUACGAGAUUUUCUUCAUGUCCUGCCGCUCCUCCGGUGGCGCUGCAGCGUCGAGCCCCGGGGCGCGGGGCGGCGGCGCGUCGGAGGGGGAGGUGUCGUCACCGGUGGCCGGCGCGGGGGCGAGGGGCGGGAGCGCCGUCAUGAGCAGCAAGGUGAAGAAGGCGCUGGGGCUCAAGCCGAGGCGGUCCGCGCCGACGAUGGUGCGUACCUCGAGCCAGAAUUCAGGCCCGGUCUCUCCCGGCAGAACACGGCGGCCGAUGACGUCGGCAGAGAUCAUGCGGCAACAGAUGCGGGUGACCGAGCAGAGCGACGCGCGGCUCCGUCGAACGCUCAUGCGCGCCGUCGUCGGACAGGUCCGGAUGCGCAUCCAUGCAUGCCGCAUCUGUUGGGAAGAAGCCUGAUUCCAUCCAUGCACGUGCCCCCUGGUCGGUCGUAGUAUUAUCUAUCCAUUUAUUAUUCCACAGGUUGGGAAGAAGCCUGAUUCCAUCGUUCUGCCAUUGGAGCUACUUCGGCAGCUGAAGCCGUCCGAGUUCACCGACGGCGAGGAGUACCACCAGUGGCAGUUCCGGCAAAUCAAGCUCCUAGAGGCAGGCCUCCUUCUGCACCCGUCCCUCCCGCUCGACCGCCUCCACGCCGCCGUGCUCCGUUUCCGCGAGGUGAUGCGCGCCACAGAGAUCCGCGCCAUCGACACGGGCAAGGGCUCCGACGCGAUGCGGGUCCUGACCAACGCCGUGCACGCGCUCGCGUGGCGCCCCGGCAGCGGCAGCGACGCGUGCCACUGGGCCGACGGCUACCCGCUCAACGUGCUCCUCUACGUCUCCCUCCUCCAGACCGUCUUCGACCACAGGGAGCCCACCGUGGUGCUAGACGAGGUGGACGAGCUGCUGGAGCUCAUCAAGAAGACUUGGCCGAUCCUGGGCGUCGGCCGGGCGGUGCACAACGUGUGCUUCGCCUGGGUCUUCUUCCAGCAGUACGUGGUGACCGAGCAGGCCGAGCCAGACCUCGCGUCCGCGACUCUCGCCCUGCUCGCCGACGUGGCGGCCGACGCCAAGCAGGGGAGCCGCGAGUCCCUGUCCCGUGACCCGGUGUACGCCAAGGUGCUCCUCAGCGCGCUCGGCAAGAUGCAGGAGUGGUCGGAGAAGCGGUUGCUGGACUACCACGAGAGGUACGAGAGAGGCACCGGCGGGACUGCCACGGAGGGCAUGGAGAUAUUGCUGUCCUUGGCGCUUGCCGCAGGCAAGAUCGUCGCCGACCGCGAAUACGCGGGCACCGGGAACUUCACCGCCGACCGCGUCGACUACUACAUCAGGUGUUCCAUGAAGAACAUCUUCACCAAAGUGAGCCCAUGCUUCAUCACAAAUCACAUAGGAGAAAAGCACAAACCAUUAGCGCUACCAUCAAGCUGUCGGACAUAAUUUGAUAUGAUCGCCGGACAUGAUAUGAUUCCAGAUACUCGAGAAUGGCAUGCGAGAGGCAGACCCUGCAAACGACCCCGGCGUGAUCCUGACGCGGCUGGCGAGGGAGACGGAGCAGCUGGCCAAGUUCGAGCGCGCCAACUUCAGCCCGCUGCUGAGGCGGUUGCACCCGGCCCCCAUAGCGGUCGCCGCAGUCACCCUGCACGGCUGCUUCGGCGUGGUGCUGAGAGAGUACCUGGGCAAGGUCACCAUCCUGACGGAGGAGCUCGUCCGCGUGCUCCACUCUGCGAAUCGCCUGGAGAAGGCCCUGGCACAGAUGACCGCCGAGGACGCGGCGGACUGCGAGGACGACCGGGCAAGGGCCGUCGUGGGCGACAUGGAGCCCUACGAGGUGGAGUCAGUGGUGAUGAGCUUGCUCAAAGCUUGGAUGGACGACAGGCUUCGGAUCAGCGCGGACUGCCUCCUCAGAGCCAAAGAAACCGAGGUAACACUUGGAUCUCUGGUCGAUGAAGUGAAGCUGGAAUUCGUAGAGCUUGACAUUGUUUUUGUAGAGCUGGAUUCCCAAGUCCAAGGAGGAGCCUUUCCCCGCGUCGGCAAUAGAGUUGAUGAGGCUGUCCAGGGCCACCAUCGACGAGUUCUCUGACAUUCCGGCGACGGCAAAAGACGACGUGGUUCAGGCGCUCGUCGACGGCCUCGACUCAAUCUUUCAAGACUACAUCUCCUUCGUGGCAUCAUGUGGUAAACGACCCGAUCAAACUCAAUCCCGUUAAAUAAACUUAGCAUGCCAUGCCAUCAUCGUUCGACAGACUUGUUUGAAUCCAAAUGCAGGGUCGAAGCAGAACUACGUCCCUCCCCUCCCGGCGCUGACGAGGUGCAACCAGGACUCGGGCUUCUUCCGGCUGUGGAAGAAGGCGGUGCUGCCGUCGUGCCAAGCGCCGGAGGCCAACCCGCGCGGCGGCGCCUCUCAGCACAACCCGCGGCCAUCCAUAAGCCGCGGCACGCAGCGCCUCUACGUCCGCCUCAACACGCUCCACUACGUCCUCACCCACGUCCAGGCCAUCGAGGAGCCGCUCUCGUCACUCUCCUCUGCCUCCGGCGGUAACCGGGUGGCAACUUCCCUCAACUUCGACCGCACCCGCGCCGCGGCCCAGUCGGCGGUGUCCCACGUCGCCGAGGUGGCCGCAUCCCGGCUUAUCUUCCUCGACUCGCGCCACGCCUUCUACCAGGGCCUGUACAUCCGCAACGUCGUCGACACACGCAUCCGGCCGGUGCUCCGCGCGCUGAAGCAGAACCUGUCGUUCCUCGUGUCCGUGCUCGUUGACCACGCGCAGCCGGUGGCCGUGCGGGAGGUGAUGAAGGCCUCGUUCCAGGCGUUCCUGAUGGUCCUCCUCGCCGGCGGCAACGACCGGAGUUUCACGAGGGCGGACCACGGGAUGGUGGAGGAGGACUUCCGGAGCCUGAAGCGCGCCUUCUGCACGUGCGGCGAGGGCCUGGUCCCCGAGGACGUGGUGGUGCAGGAGGCGGAGGCCGUAGAGGGCGUCGUUGAGCUCAUGGCUCGGUCGACGGAGCACCUCAUCACGGCGUUCGGCGCCGCCACGUCGGAGUCCAUCGCGGGCGUGCGAGAAUACGAGGACAGCGAUGGGGGCACGACCCACGUACCGCCGACGAGGCAGUGGGGCCCUGCGGACCCAAACACCAUCCUCCGCGUGUUGUGCCACCGCGACGACGAGGCCGCCAACCAGUUCUUGAAGCGCACGUUCCAGCUCGCCAAGCGGCGGUGAUGUCGGCCAAAUGCCCCACGACUGAGUCUAGGUGCUACUACACUUUUUAGUCCCAUCACUGCAACAAUCGUUGCGGCUACGUGGGCUGUAUCUGUGCCGGCCCAAGUGAGCGGCCCAUGUAAUGCGUUCAGGUGUGAGUGUGCCUUGUUAAAAUAGCCGUUGCUAAGCGUCAGGGUUGAGGAUCCAUGUACUGCCAAGUGCGAACUUCCCUCAAAAAAUAAAAUAAAAUUGUACUGUCAACUUCACACCUCUCUAAUCAUCUUCCGCCACAAGUCACUCUAUCCUUGUGUUCUAUGAACCAAGACCUAGCUUGAAGCUGGAGAGUGCACCUGGUCGGUAGGUAUCUACAACCAGUGACAUAGCCAUGAAAAUCGAAUGAGGGGGGCUAAGUGUUGCUAAGCCUUGUUGGGGAGGGCCAAUCCAGCAGAAUACAUAAUUUUAGCAGCAAAAUGUUACUGUUCAUAUUAAUACUAGGCUUAAAUCAAUAAUGUUAGGGGGGCCAGGCCCCUGCUGGCACCCCUGCCUUUGCCAAUGUCUGCAACAUUGUGCCAGAUCCACUGGUUUCUUCCCAUAUUUUUUUUCGGUUCGUUGAUUCCUUAUAUGGUUCCAUAAAUUCCUGGCAAAUGGCGUGGAUCCUUCAGGAAUCCAUGCAAAACGCAACCAUGUACCUCCGCUAGGUAGGAGUGAAUUUCAAGUGAAUCAACGGCGAAAUCCGGCAAGCCCACGCUCCCGACGCACAUGACGGCGGCGGAAUUGACUUGGCAAAGCUACAACAGCUGGUUGCGGGCAUCAUCAUACGGGAUCAACCGAAAACAAUUUUGUGAGCAUCUAGGAUCUUCUACACAUCUUCGGGCACUGGAACAACAUUGUCAACCAGAGGAGAAAUAUAACAAAGCUGGAUGUCAUGAUCAACUGAUGCAGUACGUAAGAAUCCAUGUAGUUUUUUGCCAGACAAGGCAUUACAAGAAGAGCAAUUUUAACAUGGUCCCUCUUACCUCCUCUUUUCACAUGGGAGAUACGAAGGUAAGAGUUACUCAGACCCGCCCUUCAUUGGCUAGAUUGUGUCUUGCAUCUUAGGGGCUCCCUUCAUGCCCGCGAGCUUAGCCCAUGAGCUUCUUCAAGUUGGUGGAGGUGUGGUGAUGUUGCGGCUCCCUUUGCAUGCUUGGCCAUGGUAAGGAGGGUAAACUUUGCCGUGACGUUGACGUGAUAGAGUCAUAAAGGCGUCACAACCUCGUGUGCGAGGCCUGUCCAAAGCACGAAGGACGAACUUUGCCAUGACUUCGAAGGACCAAUGUGGUUUUGAGUUGGUGGAGGUGAGCGAUGUCACAUCAUCGGGGAUUUACGCGACUCCGAAUAGAGUAAGCCCAAGGAGGCGUAUCUCUUUGCGAAGAUGCGCGGGGUCGCAGUAUCGAGGGUCCUCUUGACUUUGAGGGGAGCGUCUUCAAGGAUUCACGGCAACUCCAAUCUUGGUGAAGAUGAGCGACGUAGCAACGUUGAGGAUCCGCAGUGACUCUAUGCUUGUUGAAGACAAGCAGGGUCGCGACAUUGAGGAUGCACGCGACUCCGAGCGGAGUGGCGUCGAGGACCAUCGGCGACUCUGAGGGUAGCGGCUUCAUGAUCUGAAGUGGCUUCGAGCUUGGUGAAGAUGUGUGCGCUCGCGGCAUGGAGGAUCUAUGCGAGUCCAAGGGGAGAAAAUUCAAGGAUCCACGACGACUUCGAGGUGCCUUCGAGGAGUCUUCACCUUCUAGCAUCGACCCGCCUUACCUGUAGUUACCUUCGGAUUUUGUUGGAACUUGACUUGAUUUAGGCUGGGCCAUCUAGCUUCAUUGGUUGAUGACCUUUCACAUGGCGAGGAUUCCCCAUGGUUGGUGCGAGUGUUGAUGUUCAAGGAUCAACUAUUGAUAGGGGUAGCCAUAACUAUAUGGUCAGUGAUUAGUACGCGGGGGUUUGUACAAUGACCUUAUAUUGAAGGUCGUCGUACACUCGACAAGGUGACACAAAGAUUUUUUUUGAAUAGGUUCAUUUGCCUAGUCGGAACGCGACCUACAUCCUAUGAGGAAAAUCGUCAACAGUGGUGCUCAAGGCACGAAGAACUUGGAGUGUUGUAAAUUUCGAAGUCCCACGACUCUUGGCUGGUCCGAGCCUUACUAGGCCCCUCGGAUUCUGAUUCCCAAGCUUCGGUUGAGCCUUGUUGCAGGGACAAGGAGAGUGACUCCUGCUCUUGAGUUUAUUCAAGUGGGAGUAAAUGAUUUAGAUGCCAAUGGGGGAGGCUUAUAUAGCCGGGUCCUUAACAAAUGAUCAAGGCUACCCUUCAGACAAGGAGGUGGGAGAGUAGGACUAGGUGAUUUUUCAUCCUUCUGCCCAUAUGCCUCUAGUUGGGCUAGGAGGCGGGUUGUAGCACAGUAAUGGAUGAAUGCCUACACUAUUUGAAGGCUUCCUUGUUGGGGCUUCGACUUCUUUGCUCCUUUGCCUCCAUAUUUCACUUAUUCUUUUAAGUGGUCUUCUUUCUUUGACUUGUUGACCAUGAAGGUUUGCUUGGACUUUUGUUGACUGAAGUGGCUUGCUUGGAAUCAUAGGGGCUUUCUUGGACCAUUGUUGACCUCCUUGAAUUGUGUUACGUGGCCUUUACUUUGCUGAUCACCUAUGUGGCAUGCCACAUAGGAUAGGGGGUGGGACCUAAAGUAGAGUGAGUUGAAGAAAACCACCACAUUGAAGCCUAGGUUUGUAGAAAACAUCAUUCUAUAAAUUUCUACUCGAAAGCACUAAUUUUGGGCUUAAUCUGUUACAGAAAACACUGACUUAUUGCUACUUGUGAGCUGCAUUGGGAUUUCCUCAAACAGGAGAGGAUGAUGCAGUACAAUAGAGAUAAGUAUUUCCCUCAUUUAAGAACCAAGUUCAUCAAUCCAGUAGGAGAACCACACAAGACCUCGUGAACAACACCUACACACAAAAUAACAAAUACUUGCACCCAACGCAAACAAGGGGUAGUCAAUCCCUUGGCGGUUAAUUGCAAGGAUCAAAUCUCGUAGUGAUGAUGCAACAAGAUUGAUGUAGAGGCCCUCCGUGAUCGAUUCCCCCUCCGGCAGAGUGCCGAAAAAGGUCUCCAGAUGGAUCUCCGAAGAACAGAAACUUGCGGCGGGGAAAAAGUAUUUCGGGUGGCUCUCUGAUGUAUUGGGAAUAUACAGAGCUAGAAUUAGGUCAAGAGGUGCCAUGAGGGGCCCACAAGCCUGGGGGCGCGCCUGGCAGGCUUGUCGCUCCCUCGUGACUCUUCAGGUCUUCUAGGGUCCCUUCUGAUAAAAAAAAUCGUCAAAAAGUUUCGUAGCGUUUGGACUCCGUUUUUUACUAAUUUUCUGAAAAGCCAAAAACAAACAAAAAAUAGCAACUGGCACUGGGCACUAGGUUAAUAGGUUAGUACCAAAAAAUGAUAUAUAAUUGCAUAACAAACAUCCAAGAUUGAUACUAUAAUAGCAUGGAACAAUAAAAAAAGACGUACCAACAUCCCCAAGCUUAAUUCCCGCUCUUCCUCGAGUAGGUAAAUGAUAAAAACAGAUUUUUUGAUGUAGAAUGCUACCUAACAUGUUUAUCAUGUAAUCUCUUUUGUGGUAUGAAUAUUUACACCCGAAUGAUUCAAAGCAAUAGUCUAUAAUUUGACAUAAAGACAUCAAUACUCAGGUGUAGGAUCAAAAGUAGGUCUGGGGGGGGGGGUGAUUAGACUACUUGACCAAAUAAAAAUCUAGCCUUUUCCCAAUUUUAAGUCUUGGCAGAUUUUAGCAACUUAGCACAAGUCAAGCAAUCAACCUACACAUGCAACUCUAAGAGUGUAGCAGCGGAAAGUAAAACAUUGCAUAUCAAGGUAAAGGGAAGGGUUUGGAGAAGGCAAACGUAAUGUAGACACGGAGAUUUUUGGCGUGGUUCCGAUAGGUGGUGCUAUCGUACGUCCACGUUGAUGGAGACUUCAACCCACGAAGGGUAAUGGUUACGCGAGUCCAUGGAGGGCUCCACCCACAAAGGGUCCAUGAAUAAGCAACCUUGUCUAUCUUACCAUGGCCAUCGCCCAUGAAAGACUUGCCUCAUUCGGGUAGAUCUUCACGAAGUAGGCGAUCUCCUUGCCCUUACAAACUCCUUGGUUCAACUCCACAAUCUUGUCGGAGGCUCCCAAGUGACACCUAACCAAUCUAGGAGACACCACUCUCCAAAAGGUAAUAGAUGGUGUAUUGAUGAUGAACUCCUUACUCUUGUGCUUCAAAUGAUAGUCUCCCCAAGACUCAAUUCUCUCUCACAGAUUUGGCUGUUAUUUGAGUGGAAAGCAACUUGGGGAAGGCUAGAGAUCAAGAUUCUUGUGGUUGGAUUGGAAUGUCUUGGUCUCAACACAUGAGUAGGUGGUUCUCUCUUAGAAAAUGAGUAGUGGAAGUGUAGGCACGUUUUGAUGGCUCUCUCUUGAAUAGAGAAGGGGGUGGAGGGGUAUAUAUAGCCUCCACACAAAAUCCAACCGUUACACACAUUUGACCCAACUCGGUCAGACCGAAUAAGAGAACUCAGUGAGACCGAUUCAGUUCAAAAUGUGAACGUUAGGAAUCUCAGUGGGACCGAUAUGAUCAACUCGGUGGGACCGAUGUGCUAGGGUUAAGGCAAAACCUCAUCUCGGUGUGACCGAUUGCAUGAACUCGAUGAGACCGAUUUCAGCAAUGAUUUAACAAGGAAUUGGUCAGGCAAACUCGGUGGGACCGAACGCUCAUUUCGAUAAGACCGAAACGUUACAAAGGGAACAGAGAGUUUGCAUUGCGAACUCGGUGGGAUCGAUCGCUCACUUUGGUAAGACCAAAACGUUAUGAAGGGAAACAGAGAGUUUGCAAUGCCAUCUCGGUGAGACCGAGAUACCUAUCUGUGAGACCGAAUUAUCUAGGGUUUCUGGCUGUGGCUAUGUCAAAUGAACUCGGUGGCGCCGGAUAGAUCAAAUCGGUGGGGCCGAGUUUGACUUAAGGUUUUGGACAUAUUUGGAAGUGAGAAAGUGGUUGAGGGCUUUUGAGAAUAUCACUAAGCAUUUUGAGCAACACCUCAUCCCCUUUUAAUAGUGUUGGCUUUUCCUAUGGACUGAAUGUGAUCUUGGAUCACUGAAAUAGAAAUGAAGAGUCUUGAGCUUUAGCCAAUCUUUGUCCUUAGCAUUUUGAGGGGUCCACAUCUCUAGUCCAUGCCAUGCCAAUCAUUGAACUUUCUAAAAUAUUUAAAUUGAAUGGAUAUUAGUUCAAUGAGCUAUAUGUUGCUAUGAAUUACCAAAACCAACUGGGGAUUAGUUGCACUUUCAAUCUCCCCCUUUUUGGUAAUUGAUGACAACAUAUAGAUCAAAGCUUCGAAAAAUGAUAAUAUGAAUGAAAUACAUCGUCGCUUUGAGAAGUAUGUGCGAAGCAAGAGCUCCCCCUAAAUUUGUGCAUUAUUUAGAAUUUGCUUUUGAAUGCAAAUGCACAAUCGAUUAGGAUCAUGGGUUUCUCUUCCAUGUCACAUACAUCUUGGUGGAUGAUACGUCUCCAAUGUAUCUAUAAUUUUUGAUUGUUCCAUGCUAUUAUAUUAUCUGUUUUAUGUUUAAUGGGCUUUAUUAUACACUUUUAUAUUAUUUUUGGGACUAACCUACUAACCCAAGGCCAGUGCAAAUUGCUGUUUUUUGCCUAUUUCAGUGUUUCGCAGAAAAGGAAUAUCAAACGAAAUCCAAACGGAAUGAAACCUUCGGGAGAGUGAUUUUUGGAACAAACGUGAUCAGAGGACUUGGAGUGGAUGUCAAGAAAGAAACAAGGAGGCCACGAGGCAGGGAGGCGCGCCUGCCCCCCUGGGCGCGCCCCCACCCUCGUGGGCCCCUCGUGGCUCCCCUGACCGACUUCCUUCGCCUAUAUAUACUCAUAUACCCCGAAAACAUCCAGGAGCACCACGAAACCCUAUUUCCACCGCCGCAACUCUCUGUACCCGUGGGAUCCCAUCUUGGGGCCUUUUCCGGCGCUCCACCGGAGGGGGAAUCGAUCACGGAGGGCUUCUACAUCAACACCAUAGCCUCUCCGAUGAUGUGUGAGUAGUUUACCUUAGACCUUCGGGUCCAUAGUUAUUAGCUAGAUAGCUUCUUCUCUCUCUUUGGAUCUUAAUACAAAGUUCUCCUCGAUCUUCUUGGAGAUCUAUUCGAUGUAACUCUUUUUGCGGUGUGUUUGUCGAGAUCUGAUGAAUUAUGGGUUUAUGAUCAAGAUUAUCUAUGAACAAUAUUUGAAUCUCCUCUGAAUUCUUUUAUGUAUGAUUUGAUAUCUUUGCAAGUCUCUUCGAAUUAUCAGUUUGGUUUGGCCUACUAGAUUGAUCUUUCUUGCAAUGGGAGAAGUGCUUAGCUUUGGGUUCAAUCAUGCGCUGCUCGAUCCCAGUGAUAGAAGGGGAAACGACACAUAUUGUAUUGUUGCCAUCGAGGAUAAAAAGAUGGGGUUUAUAUCAUAUUGCUUGAGUUUAUCCCUCUACAUCAUGUCAUCUUGCCUAAUGCAUUACUCUGUUCUUAUGAACUUAAUACUCUAGAUGCAUGCUGGAUAGCGGUCGAUGUGUGGAGUAAUAGUAGUAGAUGCAGAAUCAUUUCGGUCUACUUGUCGCGGACGUGAUGCCUAUAUACAUGAUCAUGCCUAGAUAUUCUCAUAACUAUGCACUAUUAUAUCAAUUGCUCGACAGUAAUUUGUUCACCCACCGUAGUACUUAUGCUAUCUUGAGAGAAGCCACUAGUGAAACUAUGGCCCCCGGGUCUAUUCUCCAUCAUAUAAGUUUUCAAUCUAUUUUACUUUGCAAUCUUUACUUUCAAUCUUUAUCAUAAAAAUACCAAAAAUAUUAUCUUAUUAUCUCUAUCUGAUCUCACUUUUGCAAGUGGCCGUGAAGGGAUUGACAACCCCUUUAUCGCGUUGGUUACAAGGUUCUUAUUUGUUUGUGUAGGUACAAGGGACUUGCGUGUGGUCUCCUACAGGAUUGAUACCGGGGAGUCUACGCACAAGUCAAGACAUACCAAGUACCCAUCACAAACUCUUAUCCCUCGCAUUACAUUAUUUGCCAUUUGCCUCUCGUUUUCCUCUCCCCCACUUCACCCUUGCCGUUUUAUUUGCCCUCUUUUUCUGUUUGCCUCUGUUUGCUUGCUUCUUGUGUGCCUGUUUGCCCUGAUGGCCUUGCCUAAAAGCGUUGAUCCUCACCUUAGAAGGUUGGAAGAAAUUGAAAACAACGUUAGAAGCUUUAUGACUUUGCAAUUUGAGCAUAAUAAUUUCUUUAGAAACGAGCUUAAAGAACAAAAAAGCUUUAUGGAAUACAUGAAUAAAGAGCUUGAUGAUUUGUCUAGGGAAUUUUAUGGUUUGAAAUCUCAGUUUGCUCAUCUUGAAAAAUUAAUAGCCCAAAUUUCGGAUAAGCAGGCCACCUUAGUUAAUAAGAUGGCUACCAAACCGGAAGAUCUAGAAGGUAAUAAAGAUGAAGAUCUAAAAGUGAUUGAUGCGUCUCCUAUUAAAUCUUUGUUUUGCAAUAUGAAUCUUGAUAAUGAUGGGACUGGAGAUGAGUCAACUUUAGUUAAAAGGCGUCCCAAUGAUUCGGAGUUUUUAGAUCUUGAUGUAAAAAUUGGUAAAAGUGGGAUUGAAGAGGUCAAAACUUUAGAUAGCAAUGAACCCACUAUUUUGGAUUUAAAGGAAUUUAAUUAUGAUAAUUUUUCUUUAAUAUAUUGUAUUUCCUUGUUGCAAUCCGUGUUAAAUUCUCCUCAUGCUUAUAGUCAAAAUAAAGCUUUUACUAAACAUAUCGUUGAUGCUUUAAUGCAAUCUUAUGAAGAAAAGCUUGAAUUAGAAGUUUCUAUCCCUAGAAAACUUCAUGAUGAGUGGGAACUACUAUUAAAAUUAAAAUUAAAGAUCAUGAAUGCUAUGCUUUGUGUGAUUUGGGUGCUAGUGUUUCCACGAUUCCAAAAACUUUGUGUGAUGUGUUAGGUUUCCGUGAAUUUGAUGAUUGUUCCUUAAACUUGCAUCUUGCGGAUUCCACCAUAAAUAAACCUAUGGGAAGGAUUAAUGAUGUUCUUAUUGUUGCAAAUAGGAAUUAUGUGCCCGUAGAUUUCAUUGUUCUUGAUAUAGAUUGCAAUCCUUCAUGUCCUAUUAUUCUUGGUAGACCUUUUCUUAGAACGAUUGGUGCAAUUAUUGAUAUGAAAGAAGGAAAUAUUAGAUUCCAAUUUCCGUCAAGGAAAGGCAUGGAACACUUUCCUAGAAAGAAAAUUAAAUUACCUUAUGAAUCUAUUAUGUGAGCCACUUAUGGAUUUCAUACCAAAGAUGAUAAUACCUAGAUCUAUCCUUGCUUUUAUGCCUAGCUAGGGGCGUUAAACGAUAGCGCUUGUUGGGAGGCAACCCAAUUUUAUUUUUGUUCCUUGCUUUUUAUUCCUGUUUAGUAAUAAAUAUUUUAUCUAGCCUCUGGUUAGAUGUGGUUUUAUGUUUAAAUUAGUUUUUGUGCCAAGUAAAACCUAUAGGAUAUUCUUGGAUGAUAGUUAUUUGAUCUUGCUGAAAAAGUCAGAAACUUUCUGCUCACGAAAACAAUUGUUAAAAAUAACCAGAAAGUGAUAAAAUACUGAUUCCAAUUGCAGUAGAUAAAUAAUCAAAUUAUUUAGGUAUUCCUAUUUUUUUAGAUUUUUCUGAGUUACAUAUGUUUGCGUUAGAUACGGAUUACUACAGACUGUUCUGUUUUUGACAGAUUCUGUUUUUCGUGUGUUGUUUGCUUAUUUUGAUGAAUCUAUGGCUAGUAUCGGAGGUUAUGAACCAUACAGAAGUUGGAAUGCAGUGGGUUUAACACCAAUAUAAAUAAAGAAUGAGUUCAUUACAGUACCUUAAAGUGGUGGUUUGUUUUAUUUCGCUAACGGAGCUCAUGAGAUUUUCUGUUGAGUUUUGUGUUGUGAAGUUUUCAAGUUUUUGGGUAAAGAUUUGAUGGAUUAUGGAACAAGGAGUGGAAAGAGCCUAAGCUUGGGGAUGCCCAAGGCACCCCAAGGUAAAACUCAAGGACAACCAAAAUCCUAAUCUUGGGGAUGCCCCGGAAGGCAUCCCCUCUUUCGUCUUCGUCCAUCGGUAACUUCACUUGAUGCUAUAUUUUUAUUCACCACAUGAUAUGUGUUUUGCUUGGAGCGUCUUGUAUGAUUUGAGUCUUUGCUUUUUAGUUUACCACAAUCAUCCUUUCUGUACACACCUUUUGGGAGAGACACACAUGAUUCUGAAUUUAUUAGAAUACUCUAUGUGCUUCAUUUAUAUCUUUUGAGCUAGAUAGUUUUGCUCUAGUGCUUCACUUAUAUCUCUUAGAGCACGGUGGUGGUUUUAUUUUAUAGAAAUUAUUGAUCUCUCAUGCUUCACUUAUAUUAUUUUGAGAGUUCUUUAGAACAGCAUGGUAAUUUGCUUUGACUAUAAAAUUAGUCCUAAUAUAAUAGGCAUCCAAGAUUGGUAUAAUAAAAACUUUCAUGUAGAGUGCAUUGAAUACUAAGAGAAGUUUGAUACUUGAUGAUUGUUUUGAGAUAUGGAGAUAGUGAUAUUAAAGUUGUGCUAGUUGAGUAGUUGCGAAUUUGAGAAAUACUUGUGUUGAAGUUUGCAAGUCCCGUAGCAUGCACGUAUGGUAACUGUUGUGUAACAAAUUUGAAACAUGAGGUGUUCUUUGAUUGUCAUCCUUAUGAGUGGCGGUCGGGGACGAGCGAUGGUCUUUUCCUACCAAUCUAUCCCCCUAGGAGCAUGCGCGUAGUGCUUGGUUUUUGAUGACUUGUAGAUUUUUGCAAUAAGUAUGUGAGUUCUUUAUGACUAAUGUUGAGUCCAUGGAUUAUACACACUCUCACCUUUCCAUCAUUUCUAGCCUCUUCGGUACCGUGCAUUGCCCAUUCUCACCUUGAGAGUUGGUGCAAACUUCGUCGGUGCAUCCAAACCCCGUGAUAUGAUACACUCUUUCACACAUAAACCUCCUUAUAUCUUCCUCAAAACAGCCACCAUACCUACCUAUUAUGGCAUUUCCAUAGCCAUUCCGAGAUAUAUUGCCAUGCAACUUUCCACCGUUCCGUUUAUUAUGACACGCUUCAUCAUUGUCAUAUUGCCUUGCAUGAUCAUGUAGUUGACAUCGUAUUUGUGGCAAAGCCACCAUGCAUAAUUUAUCAUACAUGUCACUCUUGAUUCAUUGCUCAGCCUGGUACACCGCCGGAGGCAUUCAUAUAGAGUCAUAUUUUGUUCUAGUAUCGAGUUGUAAUCAUUGAGUUGUAAAUAAAUAGAAGUGUGAUGAUCAUCAUUAAUAGAGCAUUGUCUCAAAUGAAAAAGAAGAAGAAAGGCCAAAUAAAAAAAAGAAAGGCCCAAAAAAGGAAAUAAAAAGGGACAGUGCUACUAUCCUUUUUCCACACUUGUGCUUCAAAGUAGCACCAUGAUCUUUAUGAUAGAGAGUCUCUUGUUUUGUCACUUUCAUAUGCUAGUGGGAAUUUUUCAUUAUAGAACUUGGCUUGUAUAUUCCAACAAUGGGCUUCCUCAAAUGCCCUAGGUCUUCGUGAGCAAGCAAGUUGGAUGCACACCCACUUAGUUUCUUUUGUUGAGCUUUCAUACAUUUAUAGCUCUAGUGCAUCCGUUGCAUGGCAAUCCCUACUCCUUGCAUUGACAUCAAUUGAUGGGCAUCUCCCUAGCCCGUUGAUUAGCCGCGUCGAUGUGAGACUUUCUCCUUUUUUGUCUUCUCCACAUAACCCCCAUCAUUAUACUCUAUUCCACCCAUAGUGCUAUAUCCAUGGCUCACGCUCAUGUAUUGCGUGAAGGUUGAAAAAGUUUGAGAUUACUAAAGUAUGAAACAAUUGCUUGGCUUGUCAUCGGGGUUGUGCAUGAUGAGAGCAUUCAUGUGUGACGAAAAUGGAGCAUGACCAAACUAUAUGAUUUUGUAGGGAUGAACUUUCUUUGGCCAUGUUAUUUUGAGAAGACAUAAUUGCUUAGUUAGUAUGCUUGAAGUAUUAUUAUUUUUAUGUCAAUAUUUAACUUUUAUCUUGAAUCUUUCGGAUCUGAACAUUCAUGCCACAAUAAAGAAAAUUACAUUGAAGAAUAUGCUAGGUAGCAUUCCACAUCAAAAAUUCUGUUUUUAUCAUUUACCUACUCGAGGACGAGCAGGAAUUAAGCUUGGGGAUGCUUGAUACGUCUCCAACGUAUCUAUAAUUUUUGAUUGUUCCAUGCUAUUAUAUUAUCUGUUUUGGAUGUUUAAUGAGCUUUAUUAUACAUUUUUAUAUUAUUUUUGGGACUAACCUACUAACCCAAGGCCAAGUGCAAAUUGUUGUUUUUUUUGCCUAUUUCAGUGUUUCGCAGAAAAGGAAUAUCAAACGGAAUCCAAACGGAAUGAAACCUUCGGGAGAGUGAUUUUUGGAACAAACGUGAUCCAGAGGACUUGGAGUGGACGUCAAGAAAGAAACAAGGAGGCCACGACGCAGGGAGGCGCGCCUUCCCCCUGGGCGCGCCCCCACCCUCGUGGGCCCCUCGUGGCUCCCCUGACCGACUUCCUUCGCCUAUAUAUACUCAUAUACCCCGAAAACAUCCAGGAGCACCACAAAACCCUAUUUCCACCGCCGCAACUCUCUGUACCCGUGAGAUCCCAUCUUGGGGCCUUUUCUGGUGUGCAUCAGCCGCUGGAAGGUCGCUCCGGCAUUGCGCAUCCCGAACGGCAUGCAGGUGUAGCAGUACACCCCGCACGGGGUUAGGAAAGUCGUCUUCUCGACAGCCUGCACCGCCAUCUUGGUUUGGUGAUAGCCAGAGAAGGCAUCCAGGAAGCACAGUAGAUCGCACUCGGCGGUGGAGUCGACGAUCUGGUCGAUGCGUGGGAGAGGGAAAGGGUCUUGCGGACAAGCCUUGUUGAGGUUGGUAAAAUCGAAUCACAUGCGCUCCUUCCCGCCCUUCUUGGGGACGAUAACCGGGUUUGCCAGCCAAUCUGGAUGCCGCACUUCCUGAAUGACGCCGGCUUCUUGCAGUUUGUGGGUCUCCUGGACGAUGAAAGACUGCUUCUCCGGGGUUGUCCACCGCGCCUUCUGUUUUACUGGGCGCGCAUUGGGGCACACCAUCAGGUGGUGCUCGAUUACCCCACGUGGAACCCCGACCAGGUCUGCCGCUUCCCACGCGAACACGUCCUUGUUCGCACGAAGGAAGCUGACCAGCGCCUCUUCCUGGUCUGGGGGGAGGCCGGCGCCUAUGGUGAAAGUAAGGCCCGAUCCCCAUCUUCGUCGACCGACACCUGCUUCGUCUCGGCCCGAUCUUGAGAAAACAACUGCUUCUUAUUUGUUGGCGCGGCCCCCGGGCCUCCGAAGCGCCCCCAGCGGCUGGCCGUGCGGCCGCCGCACUCCUGAAGGCGAGCUUGAGGGCCAUGAGCGCGUCCUUAGUAUCUGUCGCCACAGUGAGGACACCGCUACUUCCCGGCAUCUUCAUGAGGUUGUUGCCAGGAUGAUUCGCCGCCAUGAACUUGGCCAAGGCUGGAUAUCCGAGAAUGGCAUUGUACGGGAGGCUGAUGCGGGCGAUGUCGAAGUCGAUGAGCUCGGUGCGGUAGUUGUUGCAUGUGCCAAAGGUGACGGGGAGGCGGAUCUUCCCCAGAGGGCAGGUGGAGCCAUCAACGACCCCAGAGAAAGGCUUGGUGGGGAGGAGCUGACCGUAGGGCACAUGAAGCAGGCCGAACGUCUCCACAGAGAGGACGUUGAGGCCAGUGCCACCGUCGAUGAGGGUCCUGGUGACUGCUACGUUGCAGAUGGUGGGGGUGCAGAGCAUAGGGAGCGCGCUGGCGCUGAUCGUGGUCUCGGGGUGGUCCCUUGAGUCAACGGUGAGGCCAGCCUUUGGCGCCACCCAGCCCGGAGGGGCUCCCUGCUACGCGUGGGUGGCGCCCACCCGGCAAAACUACUUGACGUGAAGGUCCGAGGCCGGCGCUUGCGACCCGCCAAGGAUGGCCACGACGGUGUGGGGUGCCGGUGCUGCGAAGCACGCGAUGAAGAGACUACACAGCUCUUCCCAGGAGGCCACUGAAGACUCCGGCAAGCCAAGGAGCCAGGCGCACGGCACACCCAUAAGGGGCAUGGGAAGCCAAUUCGCCAUGACCUUGUCGACACCGCCGGCUGCCCAAACAGCCUCCGCAUACGCCUGGAGGAACCCCGCCAGAUCCGCCAUGCCAUCGUAUCGCGGCGACAACUCUGGCCUGAACUUUGGCGGCCAUUGCACCUGCCGCAAGGCGGGGGAGAAAGCCCGGUGGCCCGCAGUGCUUCCGAAUGCGCCCAGGGGCCCAGCUGAGGGAGUCCUGGAUUAAGGGGUCCUCGGAUGGCCGGGCUAUGUGACAUGGGCUGGACUGAUGGGCAGUGAAGAUACGAGAUGGAAGGCAUUCCCCCGUGUCUGGAUGGGACUCUCCUUUGCGUGGAUAGCAAGCUUGGCGGCCAGAUGUGUAGUUUCCUUUCUCUGUAAACUGACUUUGAACAACCCUAGCCCCCUCCGGUGUCUAUAUAAACCGGAGGGGUUAGUCCGCAGAGGCUAUCACAAAUCAUACAGGCUAGACAUCUAGGGUUUAGCCAUUACGAUCUCGAGGUAGUUCAACCCUUGAGGUCCGAACACUGGGGUGCACACAAAGAUCUCUCUCUCCCUAGCUCGCUCUCAGAACGAUCUCAAGGCCUAGCUCGCCGAACCCAAGGAACAAGAGAUACGAGAGUUUAUACUGGUUCGGGCCACCGUUGUGGUGUAAUACCCUACUCCAGUGUGGUGUGGUGGAUUUCCUUGUAGGCUGGGGAUGAACAAGUACAAGGGAUGAAAAGCCCCCUGAGGAGAGGUGUUCUUGAGCUCGGUGAGCUUGUGUGUGUGUGUGUGAGGAUGAUCUGAAUGAUCCCGGAUCAGUUGCCUCCUACGGUGGUGGCUAGUCCUAUUUAUAGAGGCCCUGGUCCUCUUCCCAAAUGUUAGGUGGGAAGGGAUCCCACAACGACCAGUUUUGAAGGAAGACAACUAGUACAAGCUAUCCUGUCAAAAGGUGGUCUUCGCCUACCAAAGGCUCUGGUGGAGACGCCGCCGCGGGCUCCGCGGUGACCUCCGUCCUGCCGUCCUGCUGAUCUUGGUCUCGUUGCACUGAUAUGGAAACCUUUGCCUGAUGCCUCGGGACUCCUCGCCUGCGGCUGCCCCUUUAGCACCAAAGAGGAAAUUGGUACUUUGCGCCCGCUGGCGCCCGCCUGGCUUCGGUCGUCAUGGCUCACGUCACGCGCACCUUGUGAGGUGCCCCUCGCCUUGAUAUCUCCGCUCCUCACGAGCCGGCCUAGCGAGGCUUCCCCUGAGGAGGUCUUGUGUCGUCCGCCUCACGAGGCUUGGCCCCUCGCGAGGGUCUUGAGUGGUUGCUGAUGAAGAUUGGUCGUGCCAGGCCACUGGUGGAGCCACGCCCCGGGCCGCACGCAGGCAAGUCUGGGUAUCCCCGUUCCCAGGACGCCGACAGUAGCCCCCGGGCCCAAGGCGCGCUCGGACUUGGCUUCGAGGCGAAGCCAAAGGGCAAGUGUGGAGCGCUGCGAGCCCCAACCGCCUGCGGCCCUGAUUGACACGUGGCGGUUGACGGGACGUGGGCGCCUCCGCUGCCCCACACUGCCGCGGCAAUUGCCCGACUUGACGAGUCCCUGCUGCAUGCAGAAGAAGAACCAUCAUUACAUGCAAUCGUGGAGGCCGGCGGUUGGCCUCCUUCUGGCUAUAAAUGAGGAGGGGGCGGAGCCCCCAUCGCUCAUCUCUUCCUACAUCCGCUUCUUCUUCUUCUUCCUUGCUACGACACUCAUGGCGCCGAUACGGAGAUCCUCCGCUGCUGAGAAGGGGAAAACCCCCCGCGAAGAGUUAGGGCCGCUCCCACCAAAGAAGAGGCUGGUCCACCCUCGCGACAUCGUCGUGAGGCCGGAGGUGAUGAGGCCUUGGCACGAGCGGCCUCCCCCCGGCUACCCGCCGCCCUUGUACACCCAGGCGCAAGGCUCCAGCGGGGGAGGCAACGACCCGCAUUGCUCGCGCCUUGGCCGCGGUGGGCACGCGGUGGCGGUGCACGCUGCCGCCCCGCGGACUCAUGCUGAGGGCUCCUCGCGUGAACUCGUGGUGUGGGUGGCGAUGCCAUCACGCUCGUGGAUCUGAUUCCCACAAUUCUUCGCUGAAGAGAUGCCGCCGAGGGGGCCACUCGAGCUGUGGCUGCAGCACGCCGAGUGCGACACCCCGGCGACGGGAGCAGAGGUUGAGGUCGUUUCCCCGGGCAAGAUCUUCAUGACCCGCGGAUGGGGUGAGGCCACCUGUGUCUGUCGUGCGGAGGGGUUCCUCUCCAUCCAUUUCGAGUAUGACGGCGCCUCGACACUGUUCUUCAAGGUCUUCGACGAGGAAGGCCGCCGCCUGGAAUGCUGCCCCGAAGGGGGUCGCCUGGACGGCGCGGCAGGCGUUGGCCCCGCCCUUGGUCCUGCCAGUAGUUCCUCCAGCAGCAGUGAUGGUGCCUGGGAGUCCAGCGACUCUCCCGAGCCCUACGAGAGUCCGGAGACGAGCGACGACAGCUACGUGCCCCCGAGCUCUCCCCGUGCCCGGAGCGCGGCAGCGGCGUCCGCCCAUCGCCGCCGUUGAUCUGGAUGGGGUUGGCGUCGGCCCCCCGUGGCCCACUGUUGAUGAUGGCGUCGGUGGUGAUGCCUGUAGAUACGACUCCUAGAAACCUUCUUCUUUUGUUCCCUGCGAGGAAUGGAGGUGAACCCCAUGGGGUGUGUAAAGGGUCUGUAGUGCCUUUUGUGUUAAUAUCAUCCUUAUUACGAAGAUUUACGAUCGCGUGUCUUGCUUCGGCUUGGUCCCCCCCUUUCCAACCUUGCAGUAGCUUAGUGCUCUACGCCGACAGGUCCCAGUCCCCAGGCAGGCUGCAGCCGUCGCUGGUAUGCCAGGUCACGAUGCCGUGGUCAAGGCCAGGAGGUGAGCCGCCCGAGGUCCGGUGAGAGCUCCUGAGGCGCGAUGCUCAAGAGGUCCCCUUUAGCGUGCAAGCAGCUACCUGAAGGCAAGAAAGGAAGGCGGUGUCGCCGUAGCAAGGCUGCAAGAGAUGGAAAUCCCGUGUCAUAGCGCUGGGCUGUCUUGAGUGCGAGACUUAUCUUAGCGACCCUGGGUCGGCUUCUGUGUGCAGCGUCUGAUUUCUACGUCAGCGGCUGUGAGACGAUUGGGUUAAGAUUGCACUGGCUUCCCUCCCUUUUUCAUGCUCUUCUAGGUGCACUGCGUCCUCGGGUCCCGACCCUCGAGCGAGCUCGGCCGCCGCUGGUAUGCCAGGUCGCGGUGCCGUGGUCAAGGCCAGGGGGUGAGGGCUGGAGAGUCAGUAGGAGCUCCUGAGACGCGAUGCUCAGGAGCCCCCCUUUAACGCGCAAGAGAAAUGCGUGAAAAAGAAGAAGGAGCCUGCGGCGCCGUCCAUGGUCUGCCUCCGGAGAUUCCUGCAGGUUAGCGCGAGGGAGGAGUACAGCCUGCAACCGCAUCUGCUGGUCUGCGCUGGUCGUUCCGCAAGAAGAUGAAGGCACUGAGGGCCUGGUGAGGUGACGUGCGCGGGGCGUGCCGCAAGCCAGAGCUCGACCGCUCAGGUUUGUUAGCGUUGUAGGGACGGACCCGAGCACAAGUGCCGUGCCAGCAUGUGUAGCCCCCAUUGCGGGGUGAGCAGAAGGCCGGCCAGCAACGCGGGUGGCCGCGAGGGGCAACAGGUAAGCAGGCGAUAAUCAUGAAAUGACUCAAGCAAUAAGGCAGGUUAGCUCAGAUGGAUGCAAGAACGAUACAUGCCACUGGGACGGACCCGAGCGGCCCGGGGAUGAUGCGACCCAAGAGGCGCUCCCAACAGAGUAAGCUAAAGAUGCAAAAGGAUACACGUCGCAGGGACAAGCCCACGCGGCUUGGGGAUAAUGCUGCCCGAAGGGUGCCCCCAACUGAAUGAACUGGAAAGAGUCACCUGAUACCGUAUCUGGAAUGAUGUUGGAGUAGCUAAAGAUGCGUGCUGGAGAAGCUGCUCCUCACGACCCGCUAGGGUCCUGAGCCUCAGGAGGCUCCGUAGGCCCAGCUGGCUCCCGAAGAACUGUCGCGAUCUCUACCAGGACGACGUGAUGCCUGGCCUCCUGAGCCGCCAAGAUGCUCCGUAAGUGGUGCUGGAAGGUGACAGCCGCGUUCGGCAUGCCAAAUGGCAUGCGAACAUAGCUGUGAGGUGGACCCUCACACCGUCCAAUGCGUGAAGGCUAGAAAUGUCCCUGAGACGCUGCCCUGUUGAGACCUGGAAUGUCAACGCAGACGCGCAGCCCGCCGUCCUCGCCAGGAUGGGGGGCUGCGCCGGGUGGUGGGCGGCGGUCGCCGCGUAUGGCCCUUGCCUCUUGAAGCUCCUGGGUCGCCUUGGUGAUGAACUGCUGAGCAUUGGGCGCUCCACGCCUUGUGCCCUCUUGAGGGAAACGUGUGGCGAAGCACGCCUCCACAUGGUGCCCGAGCGCCUCGCUCGUGACGUUGGCUAGAUCUGAGGCCCUCCAGAAGAGAGCCUCCUAGCCUAGCCUGAGGAGGGCGCCGGGCGCGCCUUUCUAUGCGAGGAAGAGAGGCGCCCCGGCUGCGGGCGCAAAUCCUGAUGUGGUGCCGCUGCUCUCCUAAGGCCCUGGGUGGAGUAGCUACUUCUUCUUCUUGGGGAUGGCCUCAGGAGGGUACAUGGUGCGUUCGUUGUCGGGGUCUUCGGCCGCUGCAGCUUAGUAAGCGCGCUCGAGGGAGCACACGGCGUCCCGUUCUUCACAGGGAACCGUGAUGAUGCCGCUGCUCCCUGGCAUCUUGAGGACGUUGUAGCCAUGAUGGGUUACAGCCAUAAACUUGGCCAAGGCUGGAUACCCAAGGAUGGCGUUGUACGGCAGGCGGAUGUGAGCGACGUUGAAGUCAAUGAGCUCGGUGCGGUAGUUGUCACGCUGGCCGAAGGUGACAGGGAGGCGGACCUGCCCUAUCGGGGUGGUGGAGCCGUCGGUCACUCCUAAGAAGGGCUUGGUAGGCUGUAGCUGAUCGUAUGGCACUUGGAGGCUGUCGAACGUCUCAACGGACAGGACAUUGAGCCCUGCGCCGCCGUCGAUGAGGUUCUUGGUGACUUGAACGUUGCUGAUGACGGGUGAGCAGAGCAUUGGGAGGGCGCCAGUCUGACGAGGUGAAGGUGAUGGCGCACUUGGACCACAUGAGCGGGCGCGUGGCUUCAAGCCUGGGAAGGGCCGCGUUCACCUCACGAGCAAACUGCUUGAAGAUACGCUGAGAGGCUGGGGCCUGGGCACCACCCAAGAUGCAGGCGAUGGCACGAGGUUCUUGGAAGCCCCCAGCCCCCUCGUCCUGGUGGUGGUGGCAGCGGAGGGAGGCCUGCGUUGCCCUGAGGACGGUCCUCACGAGGUUGGUCCUUCUAGGCACCCUCGCGAGGCGGGUCCUGCCAGCGGUCAUCGCGAGGCCGGUCGCGCCACUCCUGACGGGGCCCACGGUCGUCCCAGCGUCCUCCACUUCGUCCUCCUCCUCGGCCAUAGCCCCGGUCGCCGCACUCGGGGCGUCGACCAAAGCGCCCAUCGCGGAUGGCCCUGAGCUCCUGACAGUCAUUGGUGUUGUGGCUGUGUACGUUGUGGAAGGCGCAGAACGGACGGCUGUUCUUGGACGACUUGGGGUGGUCUCGGCCGCGCUUUGUCUCUGGCUCGGCCGCGAGCACGGCUACCCCCUUGCGCUUCACAUCUUUGGCCCUGGCCUUCUUGUCUUCCAUGUUGGCGGCUGGAAGUUCGAAGAGGGAGAGGUGCCCUUCCUCAGCUCUUGCGCACUUGGUCGCCAUAUUGAACAUCUCUAGGGCCGUGCAUAGUUCCUCAUGGAUGGCGAGCUCCUCCUUCAUCUUGACGUCGCGGACGCCAUCGGAGAACACGGAGAUGAUGGCCUCGUCCGUCACCUUGGGGAUCUUGAGGCGGACGCUAUUGAAUCGCUGAAUGUACUUUUGCAGAGUUUCCCCUGGCUGCUGCUUGAUGCGCCGCAGGUCACCCGCGGCCGGCGGGCGGUCGCGAGUGCCCUGGAAGUUGGCGAUGAAACGCUCGCGCAUCUCGCCCGAGGAGGAUAUUGAUCCCGCGAGCAAGUUCAGAAGCCAUGAGCGUGCGCCAUCUUUGAGGGCCAUGGGAAACCAAUUCGCCAUGACCUUCUCAUCGCCGUUGGCUGCCUCGAUGCUCAGCUCAUAGAGCUACAAGAACUCCAUGGGGUCGGCGGUGCUGUCGUAGUGCGGAGGCAGGUCCGACUUGAACUUGCCAGGCCAGACGACGCUGCACAGCUCGGGUGUGAAGGCACAUCAACCUGCUGUGGUCACGGGAGCCCGUCGCAGAGGCGGCGCCUGAUCUUGAUAUCCUCGCGCUGCCGCCGCAGGCAGCACGUGGUCUUGACGCGGUGGUGCUGGGAGCGCAGGAGCGUUUUCUUGCGGCCGAGGGACUUCUUGGCAGCUUCCUUCUUCGUGCGCGGGCGCCCGGCGUGGCAAGUCACGCCGCGAGACUGCGUGUCUCGGGGCGAGGCACCGUCUUGAUGCGGAGGUGGUGGAGGCGCUCCGUGAGCUACGUCACCCGCAGCUGGGGGUGGACGAGGCAGCGAGAGAGAUGGUGCAGGAGAGCCCCCAGCAGCGCUGACGAGCUCAGCGAUGCGGUCCAGCCAGUCCUCGUAGAGGUCGUCAACCAGGCGGUAACGCAGGAGCUCGCGUGUCAUGAGCAGCACGGCCUGCGCGUCCGUGGGCGUGCGACGAGCGUGGGAUGAGGAGCCGGCCGGAGUCAGCGACUGAUAAACUAAGAUUUUCGGCUAAACCAUUGCUAACUCUUCGAUAUAUUUCUUGCUGAAAGUAUCCCUGAUCCCGGGUGGCGGUGCGAUUGUCCCGCCUCACAGAGGGGUGCAGCAAUGAAGCUUGCUGCUCGUUCCCUGCCGGGCCGGUGGUGGCGUUGGCAGCGGGUGAUGGAGAACGGCGGGGAGGUCCGCCAACGGGUGCCGUUUGAGCGACACGAGCGGCAAGGGCGGCCCGGCGCUCAGCACGGGCUCGGCGAGCGUUAGCCAUGGUUGCGGCGGAACAGUGGAGCGUGGAUCGACGGAAGAAAGGCUUCGGCGCCCCCUACCUGGUGCGCCAAAUGUCGGAUUCUAGGUUCCGGCAAACCCUUGAUGUUCGAACACUGGGGUGCGCAUGAAGAUCUGUCUCUCCCUAGCUCGCUCUCACAACGAUCUCAAGUCCUAGCUCACUGAACCCAAGGAACAAGAGACACGAGAGUUUAUACUGGUUCGGGCCACUGUUGUGGUUUAAUACCCUACUCCAGUAUGGUGUGGUGGAUUGCCUUGUAGGCUGGGAUGAACAAGUACAAGGGAUGAACGGCCCCCUGAGGGGAGGUGUUCUUGAGCUCAGCGAGCUUGUGUGUAUGUGAGGAUGAUCUGAAUGAUCCCGGAUUAGUUGCCUCCUACGGUGGUGGCUAGUCCUAUUUAUAGAGGCCAUGGUCCUCUUCCCAAAUGUUAGGUGGGAAGGGAUCCCACAACGGCCAAUUUUGAAGGGAGACAACUAGUACAAGCUAUCCUGUCAAAAGGUGGUCUUCGCCUGCCAAAGGCUCUGGUGGUGACGCCGUCGUGGGCUCCGUGGUGACCUCCAUCCUGCCGUCCUGCUGGUCUUGGUCUCGUUGCACCGAUAUGGAAACCUUUGCCUGAUGCCUCGGGACUCCUCGCCUGCGCCUACCCCUUUAGCACCAAAGAGGAAACUUGUACUCUGCGCCCGCUGGUGCCCGCCUGGCUUCGGUCAUCAUGGCUCAUGUCACGCGCACCUCGCGAGGUGCCCCUCGCCUUGAUAUCUCUGCUUCCUCACGAGCCGGCCUAGCGAGGCUUCCCCUGAGGAGGUCUUGUGUCAUCCGCCUCGCGAGGCUUGUCCCCUCACGAGGGUCUUGAGUGGUUGCUGAUGAAGAUGGGCCGUGCCAGGCCGCUGGUGGAGCCACGCCCUGGGCUGUAGGCAGGCAAGUCUGGGUACCCCCAUUCCCAGGACGCCGACAAGCUCCUACACACAAAGAACAAAUACUUGCAACCCGACAUAAGAGAGGGGUUGUCAAUCCCUCCCGGGUAAAAAGAUAGGUAAAAUUGUAGUAGAUUGGAUAAAUAGAUCUCGCGGGAACGCGAGACAAAAUAAAUAAUAAUAAGUUGCAGCAAGGUAUUUUUGUAUUUUUGGACUAAUAGAUCUGAAAAUAAAAUCAAAUAAGAAUAGAUCACAAAGGCAAAUAUAAUAAAGAAGAGACCCGGGGCCCGUAGAUUUCACUAGUGGCUUCUCUCGAGAAAAAUAGUAUACGGCGGGUAAAAAAAUUACUGUUGGGCAAUUGAUAGAACUUCAAAUAAUCAUGACGAUAUCUAGGCAAUGAUCAUUACAUAGGCAUCACGUCCAAGAUUAGUAGACCGACUCCUGCCUGCAUCUACUACUAUUACUCCACACAUCGAGCGCUAUCCAGCAUGCAUCUAGUGUAUUAAGUUCAUGGAGAAACGGAGUAAUGUAAUAAGAACGAUGACAUGGUGUAGACAAGAUCUAUUUAUGUAGAAAUAGACCCCAUCUUGUUAUCCUUAAUAGCAACGAUACAUACGUGUUGGUUCCCCUUCUGUCACUGGGAUCAAGCAACGUAAGAUCGAGCCCAUCACAAAGCACAUCUAUCCAUGGCAAGAAAAAUCGAUCUAGUUGGCCUAACUAAACCAAAGAUUCGAAGAAGAAAUACGAGGCUAUAAGUAAUCAUGCAUAUAAGAGAUCAAAAGACUCGAAUAACUUUCAUGGAUAAAAACAUAGAUCUGAUCAUAAACUCAAAGUUCAUCAAAUCCCAACAAACACACCGCAAAAAGAGUUACAUCAAAUAGAUCUCCAAUAGACCAUUGUAUUGAGAAUCAAAAGAGAGAGAUGAAGCCAUCUGUCUACUAACUACGGACCCGUAGGUCUACAAUGAACUGCUCACACAUCAUCGGAGAGGCACCAAUGAGGAUGAUGAACCCCUCCGUGAUGGUGUGUAGAUUGGAUCUGAUGGUUCUGGAACUUGCGGUGGCUGGAAUUGAUUUUCGUUGACUCCCGUAGGAUUUCUGGAAUAUUUGGGUAUUUAUAGAGCAAAGAGGCAGUGCGGGUUGCCACUGAGGUGGGCACAACCCACUUGGGCGCGCCUGGGCCCCCAGGCGUUCCCUGGUAGGUUGUCCUCCCCUCGGAGCACCCCUCUGGUACUUCUUUGGCCCAACAAGUAUCUUCUGGUCUAGAAAAAAUCUCCAAAAAUUUUCGCUGCGUUUGGACUCCGUUUGGUAUUGAUUUUCUGCGAAGUAAAAAACAAGCAAAAAACAGCAACUGGCACUGGGCACUAUGUCAAUAGGUUAGUCCCAAAAAAUGAUAUAAAGUUGGUAUAAAAUGAUUGUAAAACAUCCAAGAAUGAUAAUAUAACAGCAUGGAACAAUAAAAAAAUUAUAGAUACGUUGGAGACGUAUCAGAGCCCAACGCCUCACACACAUGCGCGUAUGUGUACGAGAGAAACGCGCAAACCUCCAUGAAUUUCUCGGCCCCGACCACCCACCGUAACCGGGAACUCCCAGAUAUUUUCCUCGCCCUCGCUUCUACCACCUUUUUUUCCAUCAUGGAAGGCCCAAAGAAUGUCAUGCAGCUGUGUCUCCGGCCCGCCCAGGAUGAAAAGCCCAUUUUCUGUCAUGAUUUUUUGUCAUAGAAGUAGGAGCCCACCAUGAUGAUACCGGGUUUUGUCAUAAUUAUCGUCAUAGAAGUGUCAUAAGCAUAACAGAAAAACAUCGUUCGGCCCAAAAUGUCACAGAUGUGUCUUUUUUUUGUAGUGCAAGUUGUCUAAGUGAUAUAUGAUCCAAAUCAACUAACCCAUGUCCGAUCAUCACGUGAUAUGGGGUAGUCAUCAAUGGUGAACAUCUCCAUGUUGAUCAUAUCUACUGUAUGACUCAUGUUCGACCAUUCGGUCUCCUGUGUUUCGAGGCCAUGUCUGUACAUGCUAGGCUCGUCAAUUUUAAGUCAAGUAUUCUGCAUAUGUAAAACUGGCUUACACAUGUUGUAUGCGAACAUAGAGUCUAUCACACUCGACCAUCACGAGGUGCUUCGAAACGACGAACUUUUUCAACGGUGCAUACUUAGGGAGAACACAAUUUCUUGAAAUUAAGUGAAGGGAUCAUCUUAUAAUGCUACUGUCGUCCUGAGAAAAAUAAGAUGCAUAAAAAGAUAAACAUCACAUGCAAUCAAUAUGUGACAUGAUAUGGCCAUUAUCACCUCGUGCCUUUGAUCUCCAUCUGCAAAGCACCGGCAUGAUCUCCAUCGUCACUGGCAUGAUACCAUGAUCUCCAUCAUCAUGAUCUCUAUCAUCGUGUUGUCACGUGGUCGUCUCGUCAACUAUUGCUUCUACAACUAUUGCUAAUGCUUAGUGAUAAAGUAAAGCAAUUACAUGGCGAUUAAUACAUUAAAGACAACCCUAUGGUUCCUGUCGGUUUCCCAAAUCAUCGACAUGCAAGUCGUGAAUCUAUUACAAAACAUGAUCAUCUCAUACAUCAACAUAUACCACAUCACGUUUUUUGGCCAUACCACAUCACAACAGGCCCUGCAAAAACAAGUUAGACGUCCUCUACUUUGUUGUUGCAAAUUUUACGUGGCUGCUAUGGGCAACUAGCAAGAACUGUUCUUACCUACGCAAAGCCACAACGGUGAUAAUCAAGCUGCCUUUUAACCUUCUACAAGGAUCACCUUCGUCAAAUUGGAUUCAACUAAAGUAGGAGAGAUAGACACCCACUAGCCACCUUAUGCAAAACAAGUUGGAUGUCAGUCGGUAGAACCGGUCUCAUGUGCGAGCACAUGUAAAGUUGGUCUGAACUGCUGAAUACAAAUAAGACAAGAGAGGUAAGCAGUUUGAGCAUCAACGCCCACAACUCUUUGUGUUCUACUCAUGCAUAUACAUCUACGCAUAGACCUAGAUCAUGAUGCCACUAUUGGGGAACGAAGCAUGAAAAUCAAAAAAUUUCCUACGAACACCCAAGAUCUAUCUCGGAGAAGCAUAGCAACGAGAGGGGAGAGUGUGUCUAUGUACCAUCGUAGAACGUUAAGCGGAAGUGUAUAUCACGCGGUUGACGUAUUUGUACUCGUCACGAUCCAAACCGAUGAAGUACCGAACGGAUGGCACCUCCGUGUUCAGGGACACGUACGGCUCGAUGACGUCUCCUCUUCCUUGAUCCAGAAAGCAAGGGAGGAGAAGUAGAUGGGAUCACCGGCAGCAUGACAGCGUGAUGGUGAUGGUGGUGGAGUGAUUCCGGCAGGGCUACGCCGAGCGCUACCGAAACAACGAAGACAGAGGAGUUACGAAGUAACGGGAUAGAGAGACCCCCUCCCCUCUAUACAUAGGUGGAGGGGCGUGGUGAGCAUCCCUCUAGGCCCUAGGGGCGCACCAAGGGGGAGGAGUUGGGCUCCUAGUCCAAUUCACUCCUUUUCCAUGCACAGGUGGACUUUCCACCUCUCCCAUGCCACAUGGGCCUUGAGGGACUUGUGCGCCUGGCCCAAUAAGGCCAGGGUGCCUCUUCUUAGACUAUGCUAGCCCUUGGGACAUGGUGGAACCCCUGGUGGACUUCCGGACUCCUCCGGAAGUUUUCGGAACCUUCUAGAGCUUCCUAGUACAAUACCGAAAAAACUGAAACUUUUUCCGAAACCCUGAAAGUCACUUUCCAUAUAUAAAUAUUUACCUCUAGACCAUUUCGGAGCUCCUCGUGAUGUCCGGGAUCUCAUCUGGGACUCCGAGCAACAUUCAGUCACCAACAUGCAUAUUGCAAUGUUACUCUAGCGUCACCGAACGUUAAGCGUGCGGACCCUAAGAGUUCGAGAAUCAUGUAGACAUGACCGAGACACCUCUCUGAUCAAUAACCAAUAGCGGAACCUGGAUGCCCAUAUUGGUUACUACAUAUUCCAUGAAGAUAUUUUAUCGGUUGAACCAAGAUGUCAAGGAUUUAGUUAAUCCCAUAUGCAAAUACCUUUGUCCGGCGAUAUGUUAUUUGCCCGAGAUUCGAUCAUCGGUAUCUCCAUACCUAGUUCAAUCUCGUUACCGACAAGUCUAUUUACUCUUUCCAUAAUGCAAGAUCUCAUGACUAACUCAUUAGCCACAUUGCUUGCAAGCUCUUUAUGAUGUUGUAUUACCGAGAGGGCCCAAAGAUAUCUCUCCGUCAUACGGAGUGACAAAUCCCAGUCUCGAUCCAUGCCAACCCAACAGACACCUUCAGAGAUACGUGUAGAGCAUCUUUAUGAUCACCCAGUCAUGAAGUGAUGUUUGAUAGCACACAAGGUAUUCCUCCCGUAUCCGGGAUUUGCAUGAUCUCAUGGUCUUAGGAAUAGAUACUUGACAUGAAGAAAGCUAUAGCAAUAAACUCAAGUGAUACGGUCGAAUGCUAAGCUUACGAUUGGGUCUUGUCCAUGACAUCAUUCUCCUAAUGACGUGAUCCCUUUGUCAAAUGAAAACUUGGUUAGGAAACCUUAACCAUCUUGGAUCAACGAGCUAGUCUAGUAGAGGCUCACUAGGGACAUAGUAUUUGUUUAUGUAUUCACACUUGUAUCUAAGUGUCCGGUCAAUACAAUUCUAGCAUGCAUAAUAAAACUUUAUCAUGAACAAAGAAAUAUAAUAAUAACCAAUUUAUUAUUGCCUCUAGGGCAUAUUUACAACACCUGGCACCGUACCUUUUGCUUCAUGGGCCGUGCGUUGGGGCACACGGCUAAGUGGUGCUCGAUCACCUCCCUCGGUACACCGAACAUGUCUGAUGCUGUCUAGGCGAACAUAUCAGCAUUUGCCCAGAGGAAGGCGACGAGCGCGUCUUACUAUUUGGGGGAGAGGCUGGCCUCGAUGGUGAGGGUGGGGCCCGAGCCACUGACAUCCAGCGACACCUUCGUCUCCGUGCAAACCUUCGAGAAUCACGACUUCUUCUUCGCGGGGGCGGCCUCAGAAGGCCCUGCUUCGUCUUCGUUUGCCGGGUACGCAGUGGCGGCAGCCUUGUUGGUGUGCUUGAGGGUCUGCAUGGCAUCCUUCUCAUCGCAGCGGACGAUGAUGGUCCUGCUGCAGCCCAACAUCUUGACUAUGUUGUAGGGGUGGUGGGUCACUACGAUGAACUUGGCGAGCAUCGGGUAGCCCAAGAUGGCGUUGUAGGACAGGCCAAUGUGCGCCACGCCGAAGUCGAUGAUCUUAGUGUGGUAGUUCUUGCUAGAGCCGAAGGUGACAGGGAGUCGCACUUGCCCGAGGGGCACCAUGGAGCUGUCGGUCACCCCCGAGAAGGGCCUCGUGGGCAUCAAGCACCCGUAGGGCACCUAGAGCAUCUCGAAGGUUUCCACGGAGAUCACGUUGAGGUCGGCGGCGCCGUCGAUGAGUGUCUUGGUGACUGCCACGUUGUUGAUGGUAGGUGUUCACAACAGAGGGAUGAUGCCCAAGGACUUUGUAGACUUGGGACGGUCACCGUAGUCGAAGCCAAUGGGGUACUGUGACCACUUGAGGGGCUUGACGUCUGCAGGCUCCGGGAGGGCUACGUUCACCUCACGGGAGAACUCCUUGAAGUGGCAGUUGGAUGGGGGAGCCUGAGCUCCGCCAAGGAUGCAGGCCACCGUGCGAGGCUCCUGGUAGCCCCCGGCGUCCUCCUCAAGCAGGUUGUCAUUGUUCCUGUUGGGGCGCGACAGGGCCGCGUUGGCCUCCUGAGGCUGGUUUUGCCAACCCACUACAAAAAAAUACACUUCCGUGAUGAUGCGUGUUCGUCACAGUAGGUCACGUUUUCUGUCAUGCAUGUACAUCCAUGACAAAUUUAUGACAGAAUCAAGAUAGUCAUACCUGUGCUGUCGUAGAAGUGUUCCAUGACAUUACCAAAAUUAUCAUCACGGAAGUGUCCACUUCCAUGACGAUAAAUCGUGCGUCACAGAAGUGCUUUCGUCAAGGGUGACCGACACGUGGCAUCCACCGUAACGGAACGCCGUUAAGCUAUCGGGUCCGGUUUUGGAUCCGAUAACCCAUUAACAGCCCCGACCAAUGGGGAUUUUCCACGUGUAAAAUCAUCAUUGGCUGGAGGAAACACGUGUCGGCUCACCGUUGGGACAGAUGGCAUCCACUCAUUGGACCCAAAGCAUCUAUGAUACGUCGACACGUGGCACGGCCCAACAGAGGGCCAUUCCUGUGAAAAGGUCGGCCCGUUUGACUUGGUCAAAAGGUGGCGGGCCGGCCCACGGCAAGCCUGUUAACGGCAUGUUCGCAUAUAGCCCAUUUAUAGCCCGCUAACCCAGGGCCCGUUUACGGCCUAUCCGAAUUAGGCCCAGUAGUGUCAUCUGGGCCGUCCAAUAUAAUUCCAGCCCGUUUUAACUUCCAGCCCAUGUAUGGCCCAUGACGUCUUUCGGCCCAUAUGAGGCCCUUAUUACUCUCGGCCCAUUAACGGCCCGUGGUAAAACUGGCCCGUAAUGAACAGUGUAUCACUUUAUACCCAUUAACGGCACGUGGUGAAACUGGCCCGUAAUGAACAGUGUAUCACUUUAUACCCAUUAACAACCCAUUAUUCUGUUGGGCCGUUUCCAGCCCAUGUUAUCUUUCAGCCUUCUCGGGGCCCAUUUAUUCUUGGGCUCAUUUCCACAUUCGUUUACUUACGACCCGUUAUUGUCAUUUUCUGCUUGUGGGCCAAAUUCAGCCCGUGGUUACAGUCGGCCCGUUUGUGUCCCGUUAAUACGUUGGGCCGUUUUCAUAGCGACAUCAAAAUACGGCCGAUUAACGACGGCCCGUUAUGGUCGGCCCAUGAACGGACGAUUUCAACUCUAGCCCAUUUACGACCAUAGUGUGGUCUGUUAUUGGCCCAUGUUUGGCCAACCGAUCAUAAGCCCGUAGAAGGCCCAUUGAUGAUACGGCCCAUUGUGUCUACGGCCCGUAUAAGGCCCAUUGUUUCUAUGCCACGUAGAAGGCCCAUUGUUUCUACGGCCCGUAGGAGGCCCAUGUUAACUACAGCCGGUGGGCAUCAAAGUUCGCCACCAGUGCAAAUAUAGGGAACACCCUACACUAUACAAAAUGGCUUGCUUUUUUCUUCAGCCGGUGGCUGCACGUUAAGAACAAAUUUUGUAUCGCACCAAAACAAAUUACAACUAUAAAACAAAAGGAAGGUUGGCAUAAAAGUUAACAGUCUAGCAGAUAAAUGCACCACCAGAAGUUCAGAAGCUCAGUUCAUUUGACCUGACUGUUACAUUUUCAUGCUGUAUUGUCCGAUGGAGCACCAUAACCUUCGCCUUCAGUUCUCCUAGGCUCCUGAACAAGAUAGCAAAUGUCUGAUAGUCUGGUUUCAAAACCAUGCAUAUCUUGACAACAUCGAAUGUCUCUCCUUGUUUCACAAAGGGUCUCUGUUAGGGAAUGGACUUGUGUCUGGAGCGCAGAUUCAACAUUGUUUUGAGCUUGCAUAUCUUGAUCAUGAGGCAGUUUGGACGAGAUUGCCUUAACAACCAAGCCAGUAUUACGCAGGAACGUGCUUUUGGCACUGUUAGUGGACAGGUACUGACCCACUGCAGCAAGAGCUGACAUUGCAGUUAUAGUUGCCUCGCCACCUUCAGAAGGUGGCGGUUCCACCAUUUUUUCCAUAGCUCGCUAAAAAGUUGUGGUUUUACAUUAGUAGUACCAGAACAGAAGAUAUUAAGGAGGCAGCAAAACCAAACAAAAUAGCUUUGGUCUAUAUACAAAACUUAUUCGGGUGAACCCAUGUAAAAUAAUAGUUGUAUUUUAUUGCAAAGUACAUACUAAAACCAGGUUCCAAACAUAUGACCAUGUACCAUCGCUAAUGUAUUGUCUAUUUCUUCACAUUGUAUUGAGGGCUAAGGAUAAAGAGAUGAAGUUUAUAAUACGGUAAGCAUAGUAUGACAUCAUUCAUAUCACAAAACAACUGAGAACAGACAAACAUGCAAUUGUAACGUUGUGUGGGCAAGUCCAACACGGAACUAGAUUACAUGUCAAGAUCAAAGGAACAUCACUCCUCUCUUUUAAACCUUGUAAGGUGCAAUGAUACGCUAAGACAAUUGUGUAUAAAAUUGAAAAGAGUAAUAGACAUUGGCUGCAAACCAUGUAGUUCAAGGCACAAGUCAGAGUAAGUAGUAGUUAAAAGGCAUGAGGAUUAAGGACUUGCAACAGCGGCUUUGACUAGUGUAGUCAUGCCCUUCUUCUUGCUGGUGUGACAGUCCUUGAAGAUUUCCACAUCAUUUGGCUCAGGUACUUUUUGGUCCUUGCGGGCUUUCCUCUGCAUUUGGAACAAGUCAAUAUAGAUCUGAUAAUAUGGUACAGCGAAAAGAGUGAAACAGCAGCUAAUUACAGGAGCCUCGCAGUGUGCAAUAUAGCUACGAGAUCUUGUCGUCUGUUGGAAUUUCACUUUCGUACGGUUGGCCUUGUUCUUUGAACAGUUCACCUACAAGAAGAUAGAUUUGUGUGGCACAUGCGUAAAUAGGACUUCAACAUGUGAUCUGAUGACAUAUAUAUAAUUUACCUGAUACUUCGGAUCGGACCAGUGUUUAACAAGGCCUCUCCAGUCUUCAUCAGAUAUAUUUUCCACUGGAGAUGUUUGGGCAAGUUCACUGUUAGCCUUGCCUUCAAAGUGAGUUUUCCUCAAGUUAUACUGAUACUGUCGCAGAGCAGACUUGAAAACAUGGGUGCAAGCUUGUCUGGUUGCAUCAUCUUGGCUAUCCAACUUGAACCUCAUCUGUUGAAAAUUAUGGGAGUCUCAUUAUCAGCAACCUAGAAAGUAUUGGAUAGAGCAAGACGAUAUUACUAGUUUCCAUACAUAACCAUACUUACAGAUAAAUGGUCGAGGAAGGUGUUGAACUGGGUUUCAUCUUUGUCAUUCCUGUACUGAAUCCAUGUUGGGAGGAUACGUACAUGACACCUAACAGCAACCGCUGCCUCUGAUACUUACUUGGCUGACUCUGUAGCAUCACGUGGUCUUCUUAAACCUGCCUCAAAACGGAUCUCCAUUCUUCCUCCUCUAGAUUUAGUUAACCUAUCGAGCAUUAUCACUGAUGUUUGUUUCCUCUUGCGCCUAGGUGCUAGUCCAACAACAAACAUAGGAAGUGUUAGUGUACAUCAAACUGUGAGACUACAUAUAAAGAAGCAUGCAACUGUAACUUGACUCCAGCAACUACCUUCUUGCUGUUGAAGCUCACAAAGUUCAUCUGAUCUUGCCAACUCAUCUUGUGUCAAGAGUGCUUCGGAAGUAGUGUCACAUGGCAAGGGAGCUUGGGAACAUGCUGCUAGCUGAGUUGACCAACGAGUAAAUCGUGCAGCUGGUGGUACUGUGGAAGGUGUUGCAACAACUAGGGUUGUCUCUGCUUGUUUGGUGGCAGCUAUUUGUUUCUGUUUGGCUUGUUCUGCAGCUCGUGUAGCACGGUAUACCCUAUCGGUACAAUUUUCCGAUGGACUUUGACCUUCUAUUGCACCAUCAGUACCAGCAGAAUCUGCAGGAUUGUUCCGCUUCCCUUUCCCCGUCGUUCUGUCUUGCUUCCUCUUUCUCUGUGCCAUGUUAAGUCAAGCCGACAAGAAAAACGAAUAAUAAUUUAGUUCUUCAGAACAAAUGUACUUUGAUGUAAGAACAUGGUGUGAUAGACAGAUAUUGUAUGUUCUAGAAACAGGAACACGUGUCUUAGUCACAAGUAUAAUGUGUAAAGUAAGCAGAUGAAAUUCAACAAAAUUAGAAGCAAUAGAAGCUAGACAUCAUACAUAACAUGCAACCACAUAUAACAGUGCCAAGUUAGAGGGAGCACCUGUGAUGGUGCACUAGGGGAGACGUGCUCAUCACCAACACAGCUACGUUGAGUGUCUAUGCAUGUGUUGUCUUGGAAAUCAUCUUGGGGGGAUGGAGGAGUAGAAUCUGUAGAUGCCCUCCAUUUGGAAGGAGCACCUUCAUCCGCUGCCUUGCUAACUUCCUUCGCUUUAUUGAUUUUGAAUUGUCAAGUAAAACCGACAAGAAAAAGCAAUAAAAUUCACUCUUCAGAACUCAUUCGUGCAUGAUACUGACAAUCACUACUUUGAUGUAAGGCAAACACAUGAUUCCAGGAUGGAAUAAUACGAAAAACAGGACGACAUGGCAUAUUCACAACUGUUUGUGUAAACUAAGCAGAAACCAUUUCACCAAAUAAGAAGCAAUGCAAGCUAGACACCACGUGAAAGAUGCAACCAAUAUGACUCUGCCAAGUUAAAAGUGUCCCAUCAUAAAUGACAUUUCAACAAAUUAGAAGCAGCGCAUGCUAUAAAUCAUAUCAAAGAUGCAACUAAUAUCACACUGCAUAUACUGAAGGUGUCUCGUCAUAUUGAUUUAUGCAGGAUACAAAAAAACAAUAGUUUUAUGUGAGGACAUGCUUAAUAGACAGAUGUACUAUGUACUAAAUACAGGAAGGCAUGUCACAUUAACAGGUAUAAUGUAUAAGCUAAGCAGAAUAGCACAUGCAGUUUAACCAGAUUGGAAGAAUUACAAUCUAGAAACCAUAUGCAACAUGCAACCACAUAUCACGCUGCCAAGUUAGAGCAAGCACCUGCGAUGCUAGUGUAGGGGAAAUGCGGUAAUCAACUACAGAGCUACGUUCACUAUCUUCAUCUAGCCUUGCUGUUUCUUGAGAAUCAUGUCGGGAGGCUGACGCUGCAUUCUUUAAUGAGGAGUAAUCCACUUGCCUGACUGCCUCAUCAUAAGUGAUUGAUGAGGGAUACACAAGAACAUUAGUUUGAUGUAAGAACAUGGUUAAUACACAGAUGUACUAGUAUGUACCAAAAACAGAAAGGCAUGUCAUAUUCAAAGGUAUAAUGUGUAAGCUAAGCAGAUGCAAUUCAACCAAAUUGGAAGUAAUACAAGCUAGACAUCCGGCUGGAGUGGUGAGCAUGAUCAUCUAGGACCUGAGAGCCUGGUGGGAGGCGGGCUACUUCGCCACCAUCGCGGCUUUUUAGUUGGCUUCCAGGUGAUGCCUCUCUUUGCUGGGCUUGUCACUGGCUCGACCAGUGCCGUGACUAGCUAUUUGUCUUCUGGUGCUCACAGGAUGGUGGUUCAUGUAAAAAAUAUCUUUCCUUAUCUUAAUAAAGACCGACUUCGGCCUUUCGAAUACAAGCUAGACACCAUAUGGAACAUGCAACCACAUAUGACACCGCGAAGUUAAAGCAAGCACCUGGGAUGGUGGUUCAUUGCGAGAGAGGUCAUCAACUCUAGAGCUACGUUUACCGUCUCCAUCUGCUGACACUGCACCUAUUAUAAGGUUGAAACGUGUCUGGACUAUCCGCGUACGACGCUGGAGCGACUUCUCUCUUUUCUUUUUUGCUUCUCUCAUAGCAGCAGAGUCUGAAAUACCCUUGCAUAAAAACACAAUAGUGAGAGUAUGGGUGAAGUGUGUGCAGAACUAGUGCACUGUAAAAGUAGCAGAUAGCAGGUGGCUGAAAAAUAAAUGACAGGAGACAUAUGAUAGCUCUACAACAUUGCAUGGCAAACAAAAUUAGAUUCUACUCCAUAUGAUUUUGUAACAUAUGAGCACAGGAAAUGCAGGUACUCCUCCAGCACACCACCACAUGUGGUCAUAUCAAGAUAACAGUCGACUGAAAAUAAAUAGGCCAGUCGAUUUUUUUAAUGAACCGUCCAAUCUAUAAGGAACGGGUAGAUGGCCUUCGUCUACCUCCCGCCAGUCACUGUUGAUGAUCUUUCUCGAACCGCCAGCGACCACCGGCCCAGACCCCUGCCUCCGCCGCCCCGCCCUCCCCUCGACCUCACACCACCGCCGUGCUUGGCAGCGCCCCCAGGCCAUCCCUUUAAUCCCGUCCGACCUCCAUAUCGGGCGCCAGUAGCUCUAGGCCCCACACGCCCCUAAGAUAAACACCGAGGCGCUGCUUCCCCAGCGUAAUAGGCGAACUAGCGCCUGUUACGCUGGGGAAUGCUUCCGUUAAUUGGGAAUCAACUGACCAGGAAUUGAAAUUCAGGGGGGCGACGGACCUCUAGCUAAGGUGAAAUAGUAUAUGAGGAUAAACCUUGUGCAUCGUGAGUUACUAGGAACAUCUAGUAUCAAGAAGAAGCGGUCAACUAGUGUCUUCUGUGGGAUGAAUACUGUGCAAGCAGACACGUAAGAUUUGCACGAAUAAGGGAAGAGGAGUACCAUUUUCGGUUGCCGGUGUGGUCGCCUCCACAUGUCGCGCCGAUCUUCUUCUUUUUGCCGGGGAAACCGAUGUUCUGGAGGGUGCAGGCUUGGACGAACCCAUGGCCAAAUUGUUGACUGUGUUGCCGUGGCCGUAUGUCGGCGGAGGGGAAGCAGAUCCGAGGCGGCGAGGACGGCGUAGCAGGAACAACUCCGGUGCGGUGGAGGGUGGCGAAGUUGGAGCGGCAGCGGUGAGGCGUAGGACGGCGUGGUUGAACUGGCUCGGGUAUGGACAGCUCGGCCUCGGCUUCAACUACUAGCCGUGGAGAGCGUUGCGGUUGAGGUUGCGGUGGACGACAACGUCGGGGUAUCAGCUCCGGCGUGAUGGAGGAGGGCGGCGGUUGAUGGGUGGAAUGGGGUGGCGAACGGAGGACGCCGGGGUUUUGCGGCUGGUGGAGAGGUAGCUUUUGCGCCCACGGAGUACGAAUGGGGAAUCGGACGGGUGGGCGGGGGAGAGGGGGGAGAACCAUGUUUCGGUCUGGGACACGCUUGUUUUUGGCUUUUUUGAACAAAAAGAUGAGAUGCGCUUGUUUGAAAUUUGGGGAAAGUACAAACUUUGCCCCCUCUUAAAUUUCGGACCUACUGCGGGUCGGGGGUAGGAUGGUAAUCCCAGGUGUCCCAAAUAGUGGGCGGGAGCGAUUUCGGCCGGGCGCAUGUGUGCUUAGGCGGCCAUUGUGUAUGGAUGUUUUUCGGAGGCGGUUGCGUGGCGUCUAGAUGAAGCUACAAACCUACUCCGGUUUAGACCUUUGGACGUCGGGCCGGUAGGUUUCACAGGUCGGAGUUAUUAGAAAAGUAAUUUCCUUGUACUACCAAACAUUGGUCUCACGCGGUUUCGGGCAAGUAGAGGCUCUUUUGGUGCUUCGUUCAAAAUUUUGAAAGACAAGCAUUCACGUUUAGAGUACUCUUGAACUUUGAGGAUUGACCUAAAUAGACACCGUUAAAUUUGACCUUGUAUGUUUGAAAACCUCAUUAAAUUAUCUGCUUCUUUUUGAAAUUUUGACACUUGAAAAUCCUAUAACUACGAUUAUUUGGAAUGGAGGAGCUAAAUUAGAAUCUAUUUUGUACACGACUACAUAUGCUAUUAUGUACAAAAUCAGAGCAAAGAUUGGUGCCCCCAUAAUUUAGGUAUGAUUUACAAAUGCCAUGAUAUCAAAUUCAAAUAAUUGAAUGGACUUCAUGUUGAAUUUGAUUUUUUAAAACCACCUUAAGUUGAAUUCAAAUGUAUGCUAGUUCAUACGUAGCUAUUUAUAAUGUUCAUUGUGUAACUUUCAUAUGUAUAAUGUGCUUUACACACACAACAUGAACUAUACUCACGUUUAUAUUCGAUUGCUAAAGCGAUGCAUUGUCUGGAGUUCAAAAUACUAACUAUGUGGAUCAAUUGUGUCAAAUAAUAACAUAGACAUGCUCAAAUUCGAUAGAAUCUAGAUGUCUGAUGGAUCAAUGACCGUUCCUUACACAAAUUGCAAAUAUCAUGAUCCCAUCCUAAUAUUUGGAUACAAUUUAUAUCUUUAAUCAAUGUGUACAGCAGUCUUGUACGUGUAGUUUCACUCUCCAUCGGUGGUCUCUCACACAUGCUCACACACUCUCUCCCGAGGUAUCUUUCUCGCACACAUGCUCUUGAUAUAACCCUCCCUCCCUCUCGUAACCAUUUACGACCCACCCCUCUCCUCUCCACCUUUGGCGACUCCCAUGGCGAUUCUAGGGUUUAACCCUACGAUCUCCAUCCGGCGAAUCCAAUGGACGGCCUCCUCCAUUGGGACUUCUCCCCCGGCCUUAAGGUCGAGGCACAGGUGCGUGCACGGUUUGGAUCUACGGUCCACUUCGUCCCCAACCCCGGCUCCAAGGAAUUCUUCCUUGAAGUUUCCUUCUCCUCGGCCUCUUUUCCGCUCUCGGUGGAUUCGGUUGGUUUGGCUCUUCAAUCAUGUAUUGGAGGGCUCAGUGAUGGUUUCAAUGUUGUUCGCUUGGGUGAUCGUCAUUUCCGGUUCUCGGUGGCAUCAAAUCGAGUGGGUCACUUUAUCUUUGGUCUACGGGACCGUAUUUGGCCGGAUUUUAUCUGUCACUUUCAUUUGCACCGUGGUAUGGACGAUCGCCCCCGGAUUCAAUCAUGGCAUGCGGACACUGAGCUGACUGGUUUGGCUUCUUCACCUGGUCCGGCUAUCAAAUCUAAAUGGUUAUCUUCACAGCAUAAUGUGCCUAUGAAUCCUGCAUCUAUUCCAGUGUUUCAGAAUUUGGGUUUGAUCCCGCCGCCGACGGACUUGCAUUCCGGCGAGCCUCCUGCUGAGAUCUCUUUUGGUAGUUUUCUGGCUCCGGUUUCUCCGGAUAUUUUUUGGAUUGGGUCCAUAUCCCUACCUAUCUCCUCCGAUAAUCCGGCCAAGUUGCCUUCUUUUCGAGGUGGGUUGUUUAAUUUGGGAUCAUGGGAGUCCAUCCCCGAUGAUACUCUUUAUUCCAUCUUGGAUGGAUGGCAGGCUGGUUAUGAUAAUGACAGUGUUAAGCUCAUGGUACAAAUUUCAUCAGUUCCAACCAAAGGUUAUAUAUACAAAAGGCUUAAACAUUGUUCUAUAUGUGAUCGGCUUGGACAUGUCGCAGACACUUGCACUGGGUACUUUUGUCAAAGUUAUGGGGAUGUUUCUGGGGAUUGUUCUUGUUUUUCUUCACGUAGAAACUCCCACAAGCAUGUGCCAUGCAAGGUGGGCCCGGACCCUUUAGGUCAUCCAUGCAAUGCUUGCUCUGCAACUGACCACAUGACUAGGCUUUGUCCCGGGCUUCGUCGUUGCAUGCUUUGCCAUCGUCCGGGUCAUGCGGCCCGUAAGCCCAGAUCUUGCAAUUUUUUACCUCAUUGGGCUUGGACACAAAAAUCACUACAAGUAACAAAAUCUGAGAGGAUCUUGCCUCGGGGUGAGUCGGGUGUGUCUGCGUUUGGAAAUUCUGUGGUUGUUGGUAUGGCCCGUGUUGUGAGGGAUACGCGUGCUCGUUGGGUUUGGAAACAGAAACAGAAAAUCCCACGCUCCUCGGACGUGGCCACUCCCCAUUGCUUGACGAUACGCCUCCCCGGUCAGGGUGUAGUCAAUUCAGCCUGCCAAAAACCCCAAUCGGAUGAGCCGACGUCUUCCUCGAGCUCACCACCCCCACCUUCAUCCCCCCCGCUCCCAUCGCCUUCGUCUCGGAGCAAUCUCUGUCCGUCAUCGGCGAUCUCCCUUCGGGCGGAUACCAAACCUCCGGCAACUCAAGCUAUGGCGAACUUCCCAGUGCGCCCGUUUGCCUUCGCUCCAGCUGGAUCGACCUUCGACCGUGGCCCUGCUCAUCGAGUCCAGAACCAUGUCAUGGUGGUAGAUGAUCCGCCCGUUAACCUUGACAGGUACGCUAUUGUUUCAGUCCAUCCUCCAGUCCCUGAUCAUCAAAAGGAGUUCUGGCUAGCCGAGGUCUGUCACAUUAUCACUGGGGAUCUUGAGUACGAUUUGGUGGAUGAUUUUAUUUACCCGCUGGGAAUCGGAUGUGUGGUUUUUGCGGACAUGGAGAGUAGGGAUGCUGCCAUUAGAGAGGGGCCUCACGCUCUGACUGAGGAUUCUACUUUCUCUUUAGUCCCUCAUGACGAAUGUUUCAAUAUGUGCAUGCCUGCUUUUGAAUAUGAGGUUUGGGUCAUGUUUCUCGCUUUCCCAAUGGACUAUCAGACCGAACACUAUAUUCAUAAGGUUGUCUCUAACUUUGGAAAACUUCUUGUCUGGCCACGCCCGGGUCACAACAAAGCUAGAGUUCUGGUUAAGUGUCAUAUCAAAGAUGUUGCUGAGGUGCCACAUAGUCUGUUGGUUACCAGGGUUGGUUUGCUGCCAGGUCUUGCUUGAUCUUGGUCUGUCCCUGUGUAUGUUUUGAAUGGCAGAAAUACUAUUCCCACUUAGUUGGUAAUGAGGAUGUUCCUCCCCUUCUGAAUGCAUCACCCCACCCAUAUGAGCUUCCAUACUACACCCUCAUGCAGCAGGCAAGAAUUGAUGAGAUGAUUGCACAAGAUUCUCUGAAUGAAGAGGCAUGGAACGCCCCGGAACCUGCCUAGGAGCACAUUCAGGAAAAUGGUUGGCCUAUGUGGCCCGUGGUUCCUCCGCCAUACACAGGGUUCAGUUUUAGAACUUUCUUCCAGUAUGACGGGCCGUCCCUGAUGGAUGGUGUGGACCCAGAAAACAAUGUCCAGGACAACCUGUCUGAUAUUUGGUCUUCUGAUUCAGAGUUUUAGGCGGUGGAAGCGCUGGCUGAUGGUUUUGUGCUUGGGAAUCCUGCUGCACGACUGGCGUUUGUCAGAGCAGGAGGGGAUUCAGUUAAUUUCUUUAUGGUUGUUGACCAUGAGCUGUUGCUUUGGAUGGGAGGGAUGCUCAAACGCAUAUAUAAGCCGGCCCUCACCUUUGAGCAAUCUGAGGCUGUUAUGUUACCUCUUAACCCGUUCAAGUUUCUCCAGAACCAACUGAAUGCUGCUGCGGCUGCCUGGCUUGAAGGCAUGGUCCCAGAGCGUGAUGUUAUGUCAGCGGUGUUCAGUUCAACCUUUCAGUUGGGGGCUGUCAUCAUAUCCCCGUCUCUGCUGCAGGAGUCUGUUGAGCCCAGGUCUGAAGUGAUAGAUACUGAUUGGGAGAUGGCGGCUCGCUCUCCUGGUCUCAAGGCGAUCUCACGAUUUGUUUGUGAAGAUGCAGAGUUACAGUCAGUGCCCCUGUUAGAUCAAGAUACUGCUCUUUAGGUGAUUGCUUCUGCUUCUCUUUAUAAUGCUCCUCAGCCCCGCAAUGUGCUAGUGCCUCUAGACACAACCACUGUCAGAAGAAGCACUCGAUCUAACAAGUAUGAUGGCUUCAAGAUCAAUCAUGUCUCUGACACCAAGCGCUCUAAGUCACAGGUGAAACCACGCGAGACCUCUUUUAUCACAGCUGUUUCUUUGGCUGCUGCCCCUGUGCAGGUUAUGACUGGUGCUUGUCCCCCUCCUACGCCGAUUGAAGAUCUUCAAUAGAUGGGUAGCCGUUGCGGGAUUGCGCGGGAUGUUCUUUCUCCCGAGAAGCUGCUGCAUGAUCAGCGCUCGUCCACUGGAGCUGGCGACUGAAUUUUCGCUCGCUCAUGAAUAAGUCAUGGAAUGUACUGUCGUGGAACAUCAGGGGCAUCAACUCUAAUGCUAAGACUUUGGCUCUUAGGAAUGCUAUUGAUACUAGCGGUUGUUCUGUGCUAUGUAUCCAGGAAACUAAGCAUGAAUCUUUUGAUCUGGCGUUUAUUAAAACUUUCUGCCCUAAGCGUUUUGAUAAAUUUGUGUUUGCACCAUCAGUGGGUGCCUCUGGUGGUCUUAUUAUAAUAUGGAAUAGUUCUGUGUUUGUGGGCACGCCUUGGUAUGUUGACUCGUUUGCUGUGGGUGUCUCUUUUGUUGCUACUCAGUCUAGUGAUUCUUGGAAAUUGAUCAAUGUCUAUGGUCCAUGCUCUAGUCAGCGUCGGGUGGAUUUUACUAACUGGUUAUUUGACCUAAAUAUACCUGAUGAUGAAAAUUGGUUGAUCCUUGGAGAUUUCAAUUUUAUUCGUUCCAUGAAUAAUAGAAACAAGCCUGGGGGCGACGCUGCGGACAUGUUGCUGAGUGCAGUCUCUGAUGGAGUUACCUGUGAAGGGCAGAGCAUAUACCUGGGGCAACAUGCAAGACGACCCCCUGCUCGAACAGCUCGAUUGGUUCUUUUCUUCCUCUUGUUGGACUACCUCCUUCCCAAACACGAUGGUCCUGCCAUUGGGGAAACCGGUGUCUGAUCAUAUUCUGUGUGUGGUUGCAAUUGAAUCUAAUAUCCCCAAGUCCAAGCUCUUCCGCUUUGAGAAUUUUUGGGUUAACCAUGUUGGGUUUACGGAUGUGGUUGCCGCCUCUUGGUCCAAGGCAUGCCAUGCCCCGAACGCUGCUGCCCGCAUUUGUAAAAAAAUGAAAACUCUGAGAUAUGAUCUCAAGAGAUGGAGCAGAGGUAUCUCAAAGCUGAAAAUUAUGAUCCAGAACAGUAAUGAAUCUUUAGUUAUGAUGGAUAAUCUCGAGGUCAAAAGACCUCUAUUUAUCCAGGAGUCAAACUUUAGGAGGAUUUUGAAAUCUCACUUGCAGACACUGCUCAAGUUUCAGAACGAGUACUGGAGGAAAAGAUGCACGAUCAGGUAUUUCAGAUUUGCUGAUGAAAACACCAAGCUCUUUCAAUCUCUGGCCACUGAGAGAUAUAGACACAAUUCUAUUGCCAUGCUUCGUGAUGAUGCUGUGGAAAUCCAUGACCACGUUGGCAAGGAAGGGGUGCUGUUCAAAACCUAUAAGGAACGUUUGGGUUCUUCUAAACCCACUAUCAUGCGUUUUGAUCUUUCUAGAAUCAUUCAUCGGAUCGAGGGACUGGAUCAAUUGUCGGCACCCUUUUCCAAUGAAGAGAUCGAUACUGUAAUUAAGGAAAUGCCAAGUGACAGGGCUCCGAGCCCUGAUGGUUUUAAUGGUUGUUUCCUUAAGAGCUGCUGGCAGAUCAUCAAGUCAGAUUUCUAUAAGCUGUGCCAUGCCUUUCAUGCUGGAGGGCUAGAUAUCACCAGCAUUAGUGAGGGGUACAUCACAUUGAUCCCUAAGAUCUCUUCUCCAGAAACUGCAAAUGAUUAUAGACCAAUUACUUUACUGAAUUGUUGUCUGAAAAUCAUCACAAAGAUCUUGGCUAACCGGCUGCAGAAAGUCAUCCACAAAAACCAGUACGGUUUCAUCAAAGGGAGGACAAUCCAAGAUUGCCUGGCGUGGUCAUUUGAAUACAUCCAUCAAUGCCAUACCUCAGCGCGGGAAAUUAUCCUCCUCAAGUUAGACUUCGCUAAGGCAUUUGACACGAUUGAGCACGCCCCCAUGAUGGAGAUCAUGAAGCACAUGGGUUUUGAUGACAAAUGGCUCGGAUGGAUGAAAACGAUCUUUGGCUCGGGGGUUUCUUCUGUAAUCCUUAAUGGAGUUCCUGGUCGGAAAUUUAAUUAUAAAUGUGGUGUGCGACAGGGUGACCCUCUCUCACCGUUGAUCUUUGUCCUUGCGGCUGACCUUCUCCAAGCAGCAAUUAAUGAUGCUUUCGCUAGAGGAAUAGUUGAGCUUCCUCUCCCUCGUGAUAGUGCGGGUGACUUCCCCGUUGUUCAAUACGCUGACGACACGAUUUUGGUUAUGCAGGCAUGUCCUGAACAGGCCGCCCGUAUGAAAACUAUCUUGGAGGAUUAUGCUGUUUCGGUUGGGCUGAAGAUCAAUUUCCAGAAAUCAACUCUUAUACCCAUUAACAUUGAUCACCAGCGUGCUUCUGAAUUGGCUGGGUUUUUUGGCUGUUCUGUUGGUUCCAUGCCUUUCACCUACCUCGGCCUCCCAAUGGGGACGACGAGGCCAAGUGUUCUUGAUCUCAUGCCGCUAGUACAUGCAGUCGAGAGGAAGACGCCCACUGCGUUGUCGCUGAUGUCAUCCGGGGCCAAACUGACUUUGGUUAAUUCUGUUGUGACUUCGAUGCUGAUAUAUGCAAUGUGCACAAUCAAAUUGCACCCAAAAGUGAUCGAGCAUCUGGACAAACUGCGCAGAUAUUGCCUCUGGGCAAAAAAUUCUGACGAUGGGGUCAAGAACAACUCCCUUGCGGCCUGGGAACUUGUCUGCCGCCCAAAACGCUGCGGAGGCCUUGGUGUUAUUGAUAUCAAAACACAGAAUGUUGCCCUUCUCCUAAAACAUCUAUUCAAAUUCUAUAAUCACGAAGAUGUCCACUGGGUGGAGCUGGUUUGGGACGCUUACUACAGAAACAAAAUAGCGCAUGCAACUGAUGCAGUGGGCUCUUUUUGGUGGAAGGACGUGAUGCAACUCAGUGGGGUCUUCCGGGGGAUCACCAAAGUCACCCCGGGGGAUGGCUCUAGCUCUUUAUUUUGGAAAGAUGUUUGGUUUGAUAGUAGUCAGGAUUCCCCACUCAUGGACAUGUACCCACGGACUUUCUCAUUUUGCUUGAAUGAAGAUGACUCCAUUGCUAAGGUUCUUACUGCAACUGACCCAACCAUGAUCUUUAGUUUACAUCUCUCGAUCCAGGCGAGAGAGGAAAUCAAAGAGAUCUAGCAGGGGUCGACGCAAAUUCGUGUGGCCAACGACCGUUGUGACAUUUGGGAAUGCACGCUCGGGCGUUGCUCAUCCAAGAAAUUCUAUAAUCACUACUACAAGCAGGUUGUGGCAGAUGAGGCGUUCGGUUGGCUCUGGAAAGCCAAGAGCCCAAUCAAAUUCAAGAUGUUCGGGUGGCUACUCCUAGUUGAUCGUCUGAAUACCAGGAAUAUGCUCAAACGCAGACAUUUUGCUGUCGCGGGGGGCAACUACACAUGCAUGUUCUGUCAAAACCCUCCCGAGGAAAUUGUGGAACAUCCGUUCUUCAAUUGCCCCUUUAGUCAACACUGCUGGAGUAAAGUUGGAUUGGCGUGGCCGAUAGGUGCCAACAGAUUGGCUUUGCUGCGUGGGGGUAGGGAUAACUGGAGGCAACACCUCUUUUCAUGGAUAUAUUUAUUUUGGCUGCUUGGAGUCUAUGGAUGGAGAGAAACAACCAACACUUCAGAGGGAUUCAGCAUUCCUUCGGAGCAUGGCUGGCCAGAUUCAAGCAUCUCUUGGAGUUGCUAACACAUAACUGCAGAGAGGAACUUCGCCCCUUCCUGUCUAGUUACAUUGUAAAUUUGGGUCACAAGGGUUGUAGCUAGCUUGCAUGGCGGGGGGGGGGGGCACAAAAACCCUUUGUAACACAUAUGUAACUGUUCCUUUGUGAGUAAUACAAAGUCAGUGGGAGCCUCUCCCACAGUCGUUCACCUUUCAAAAAAAAA